rnacentral:lncRNA from 1 species
GAUCUUCCAGCGCUGGUUGUCGCCCUCAGUCCACUCCCACAGAAUGAGGGUGGUUCCAUCGCGCACACCGCCAUGGUCCUUGUCGCCAUGGAGCGCAUCAAAGUUCAAGUAGAUGUUGUUCACCAUCCUGAUGCAGCGGUAGCCUGCCCCAACAUCCCUGCUCUCGGUCCAAAGGACCGACUCGUCCAGGGUGUCUGGAUUGUACCUGGUCAGAAGAACCUAGGAUCCAAGAAACAAACCAGAAGGUGAGCAAAUUCACCAUACUAGAGGAGCUGCACUGCAGGGUUGACUAAUCUGGAAGGCCAUAACAGAUCACAGUCACAGCAGGCACACUUGACUUUUUUUUUUUCUUACAAAAUUUGCUGAAAAUGACACGCGUGGAAGUAUUGUUAUAGUUAUGGUCUUGCGUGGAUGGUAAUGUGAAACACCGUUGCAGGUUCAAGUUUUUGACACUGACAAAAUUCGAAACGUUUGCUGAACAUGACACCUAGUACUAGGCAAAUAUUAUUCCGAAGAACAGGGAGAAUUAUAACUCAUGCUGGACUAGUUUAUAUCAUUCCAGACAAAAAAUCAUUAAAUCCUAGUAGUGAUUAUUCACUGAGAAUACCACAUGUCACACCGCCAAUAAGCUCAAAGUGCUUUUGUUCACUCAAGCUUUGCCAAUUCUGUUUUUCAUACGCAGAAGAAUGCAGAGAAAGUGGGCAUUUGGAAUGUGUGGUAUAUGGUGUGCUUGCAGAUGCUCUGAUAUAGAGAUAUGUCUAAAUUUGCCAAAACCAUGUACUAAGAUCCACCGUGCACGCAUGCAUCGGAUAGCAAAAUUAAAGAUGAAUGAAUGGAUGAAUGAGCUGAAGCAAGGAGGCUGGUUACAGGGUGGGACUGGCCGAGGGAGUGCUUGAGAGCCUCUCCGCUGGCCUUGUUGACGAGCGCCAUGGCAGGGUAGCCUUCCUCAUCCUUGACCCUUGUGCUGUACUUCAUGUCCUUGAUCCAGUGCUGCAUCAGAUGCGUAUAUUCAAUCAAAUCCAUCGACCACAUGAUCAGAGAGGAAAUAAUAAACAAAAAGCUGCUUGAGCAAAAGCCAAGCAGGGUUCCCCAAUUAGGAAAGGACGAGGCGGAACCGCCAAUUUUUCAGAUCCCGGUGGCAAGCUCGCCAUGCUAUUUCGGAUCGGGAUCAUGGAAGCAUGUUGGAUCGAUCUUGGGCUGGCGUACGCGUGCGUGUGUAUGUACCUGCGUGUCGUCGUCGCGAUCGGUGCGGACGAGGCAGACCUUGCCGUCCCUGGCGGCGAGGCUGAAGCUCUCCUCCCCGGCCUUGCAGAAGACCCUGUACGUCGGCUGCCUGGUCGCCGGGGGCGCCAUCCCGCCGCCGCCGCCGUGGUGCGGGCGCGUCUCGUUGCCGUAGCCCCCGUACUGCGGCCUCUCGUCGCCGGACUCGUGGGAGACGUGCACCACGUUGCCGUGGGCGGGCGCGCCGUAGCCUUCGUCGCGGCCGCCUCCGUACGCCGGAGCGGGGGCGUGGCGCCCGUAGUCACCCCCGCCGUACCCGGCCGGCGCGGGCGCGUGGCGCCCGUAGUCGUCCUCGCGCCCCCCACCGUAGGCCGGGGCGCGGCCGCCGUAGUCGUCCUCGCGCCCCCCACCGUAGGCCGGGGCGCGGCCGCCGUAGUCGUCCUCGCGCCCCCCACCGUAGGCCGGGGCGCGGCCGCCGUAGUCGUCCUCGCGGCCGCCACCGUAGGCGGGGGGCGGGGCGCCGUAGGCGACGUCGUCGGGGCGGCGGCCGUAGGACGGGGGAGGGGCGCCGUAGGGGUCGGGCUCUUGGCGGCCGUAGGGGGCGGGGGGGCGGCGGUCGUCGUCGUCGUCGUCGCGGCGGCCGUGGCCGUGGCCGUGGCGGUGAGGGAACUCCAUGAUUGAUUGGCCUGUCGGUGGUGGUGGUCGGGACUCGGGAAAUGGGAACGCGGGGGGGUGGUGGAGGUGGAUCCGAUCCGAGCCUAAAUAUGUCGCGUCGCCGGAGUACAUGUCGACGGGCGGGUGAGGUGAGCGCGCGACGUGGCGCCAAUGGGACGCGCUCGCACGACCGACCGACCGACCGGCCGGGCCGAUUCAAUUUCGCAACUGGGCGAUGGCGAUCGGUGGAUCGCCACGUGCACAGCUUUGCACUACACACGUCGCGGAUGGUGGAAAAAUCGUGGUCGUAUCUCAUCCGUUGUUUCUUUUCCUUCGGAUGCCGCGGGAGAUCGGAUCGUAUCAAGCCAAACCAGUCAAGUACCAGCUCAACAAAAAUCAACCGAGCACUCAAUUAUUGCUUGAAUUUCAAGAAGAAAAAAAGGGAAAAGGAGAAUUCGAUGUGGUGUGUACGCUGUGGCCCAAUGGUGCAGCUGCGAGUUCUGAUUUCUUGUUUGAUUGGGGUUGCAUGCGCGGAGGCAGCGGGCGCCAGACGGCGAAUCCUAUUUGACGCUGCAAGCGUCGGUUAAAGUGUAUUUUUCUUAACUGACGCCUGCAGUUUUCGGUCAUGGCCGACCCUUCGGGAGGCGGUUUUUCCGUCUUUGUGAAGGUUCCGCAAGCUUUCUAGAUGGAUUUUCUUAUUUAUGUUUUUUAGGACUGGUUCUUCUUUGGUUUAUCUUUUUUUCUUUAUUAUUUUUAUUACUUUUUCAUUUUCGUUUUAAUAUUUAUAUAAUUUUUACUUUUUGAAAAACGCAGCCAUUUCUUGAUUAACUUUUUCUCAAACGAACAAAUAUUUUUUCAGAUCAAUGAACCUUUUUCAGAAUUAUAUGUUCUUUUAUUAAAAUUCUAUGAACAUUUGUGAAUAUCGAUGAACUUUUUUCAAAUUAUGAUGAACGUUUUUCUGAUUGAUGAACUUUUUGAAAUGGAUGAACCUUUUUAAGAAUUGUGAAAAAAAAUUCAGUUCAACAAUUUUUUUAAAAAAAAAUCAAAUUCAUGAACUAAUUUUCAAAAUCCGUUAACUUUUUAAAAAUGUGAGAAGUUUUUUUUCAGAUCACAAUGAAUUUUUUCAAAUUCGUUAACUUUUUGUUUCAAAAUUGGUGAACCAUUUUUCGCUUUUAUGAACCUUUUAUGUUCUUUUUUUUUUGGUUUUUAUUAUAAAAAACCCACCUUGAGCCUGGGCCGGCCCGUUAUGCACGGUGUGUGGGCGCUAGUUCUCCUAGCUGGCGCUUAAGGCGCCGCCUCGCCGCUAUGAGCUCCCGGGCCAUACCCCCCCCCCCCACCCAAGGAACUAGUAGUAAUAUAUUGGCUUAAUUAUACGAUGGACUUAAUCCACUUGUUGACUCGUACCUGCUAAUCGAUCCACACGAUCAACGAUACGCACACACUAAUCCAAUUUGAUGUUAUCGACUCUUUCCUCGGCGACGCACCAGUCGCUAGGGUUUCAUUGACGCCGCCGUGCUGGUCGCCGGUUGUCGCGUCGGGCCGCCACCGCCGACCCGCUGUGCUCCGCCCGUCAUCGACCGUGCUGCCGCCGACCAUGCAUCAAUCGAGUACAGAGAGUCCACACAGGCUAAGAAGUUGAACGGCGCUGCCGCAAGCCCACACACAAUCCCUAACCGAUGCUGUGCAGCUGUGUUGUGAUCAGAAGACGAGGUCUUGAUGUAAUGUAAGGUGUACAAUUGUCUAGUGUCUACAGACCAGGUUUCAUAUUAUUGUGGUUGUCACUUGUUGGUUUGAUUCAUUCAAUAGAUCAAUUAAUCAAUUGUUAGUACUUAGUAGUUAGUAAUAAUUUAUUUUGAUACUUGUGAGAUCAAUUACAUAUUUUCUUUUUACUUAAUGGAAGAACUGAAAACUGCAUAGGUCAUGAAUAAGAGGAAGACAUCACCGAUAAGUAAUGGUUUCAACCAAUUGCUACAAACUCUAACUCUGCGAUUGAAAAUGCAAAUGCAAGUGUCAAGGUAGAUGUCACACAGCAACCCACUGGUCAUAAUGUCCCCAAUCUCAGUUCAGUUGAUAUGCCACCCCCCGAGCAAAAUAUUCAGGUAUCUGUGGAAGUUCUAGAACAGCAAAGAAUUGGAAGCACACCAUUUGAGCGAGACCCUGGAAAGCGCAAAUAAAUUUGGGAACUCCCUCUUGAGAAGCAAAAUGAAGCACCUUGAUCGUAAAUCUCUCGAAAACUCGUCACUAUAGCUUAUCUGUGGUGGCACCAAUACUGUUAGAGAUUGGAGAGCUAGUUUCCUCUUUUUCUUCCUUUUACAUUUAACAUGUAAAUCCGUCAUCCAACGUACCGGGCCAUCUUUGUGCAAAGUUUGCUUGCACACUGACGGUCAUCGAAAGUUGGAUGGAUUUGAGACCCUCUUUCCUGCUCAUCAGCUUAUUGAUUGAUGAUGCCAGGAGGCAGGAGCUCUUUUGUUGAAUAAAGCUCUCUGACUGGAACACAAAAAAAGACACAACCAUUCAAAAAUGAUUGUGACAUUUACAAAAGUAUUCACGCUCUUCAAACAUAUGUUCACAACAUUUUCAGGAAAUGUCUAUACAACAGUAAAGAAAGUUAUGUAACUUCAAAUAAAUUGUACUACCAUUAAAAAAACUUUGUGUCAUCAUAAAAAAGGUUCACACGUUUCAAAAACAUGUUCGUAUUGUUUUUCUACAUAUGUUCGUACCAUUCAAAAAAUGUUUGUGACAUUGAGAAAAAUGUGCAUGUGUUUCGGAAAAAAUGUUGUUGAUUUUUUUAUACAAAUGUAAAAAAAAGUUUGCUUAGUUUAGAAGAAAAAAUAUUAUACCAUAAAAAAUAUGAUCAAAUAUGUAUUCCAAAAAAGUUGGACACGUAUUCAAAAAAAAUGUUCAAAGCAUUUAAAAAAAAACUAAUGUGUAUCAAAAAUAGUUGCUGAUGUACACAAAAAUGUACAACAUAUAUGAAAAAAUAGACAUGUAUUGAGAAAAUGGGGAAAUAUUAAACGUAUACGAAAUAGACAUCUAUUGUGGCAGUUCAAGACAAUAAUCGUAGUCGUCAAAAGGUUCUUCCUUUGCGACAGCAAGAACAACUUGGUGGGUAAUUUGUCAAUUCUUAAAGCCAUUCAUUCACCAUCACUUGAUUAAUUUGUAACUCAGCUAAUUAGCCACUAGCUACGACUAACAUCACUUGCAUAGCUUGUGGGGCAUCACUUUGCUUUCAGCACAAGAAAGUACUUAUAGUUAAUAAGUUAUUUGAGCUAAGUAGCAAUCCAAUGUGCGACGUGGAGUUUCUCAGCCCGCGCUCAACUGAGCUCGAAUGAACAGUAAAAGUAAAGUGAGAAAAACUGCGGCAAACCUAUUUAGCGUGACAGGCAUUGCUUAAAGGAAAAAGUUGCUAACCGGCGCCUGCAGGGCUCCGUAAUGGGCGGGCCCAUGUUGAGAUCCUUCAUGAACUUUUUUUAGCCUGUGAAAUGUUUUAGCCCGUGAUCUUUUUUUGAAAUCGGUAAACUUUUUUGAAAAUCAAUGAUAUUUUUUGGAAAUUCAUGAACAUUUCUGAAAAUCAAUGAACAUAAUUUAAAAUUCAUGAUUUUUUUCAAAAUCAGUGAAAUAUUUUUAAAAAUUGAUGAACUUUUUCAAAAUCAGUGAACUGUUCUUAAAAAUUGAUGAACUUUUUUCAAAAUCAAUGAUUGUUUUUUCGAAUCUUUAAACUUUUUGAAAAUCCAUGAAAAUAUUUUUCAAAAAUAGGUGAACAUUUUCAUAAUAAUUGAACUUUUUUGAAAAUCUGAACUUUUUAAAAUUCUGUGAACUUUUCUCAAAUUUUUAGUGACCAAGACAUUUUUUACAUGGGAGGAGUGCUUCAGGCGCCGGUUUCCCUAACUGGCGCUGAAGGCGCCAAAUACGAGGGGACUUCCUAUACCGUACCUUCAGCGUCCUCUAAGCCAAUUGGCGCUCGAUGUACCUUCCUAUACCGUCCUAUUUAAACUUUUUAAAAAUCCAUGAACAUAUUUUUCAAAAAUAGGUGAACUUUUUUCAUAAUAAUUGAACUUUUUUGAAAAUCUGAACUUUCUAAAAUUCUGUGAACUUUUCUCAAAUUUUUAAUGACCAAGACAUUUUUUACAUGGGAGGAGUGCUGCAGGCGCCGGUUUCCCUAACUGGCGCUGAAGGCGCCAAAUAGGAGGGGACUUCCUAUACCGUACCUUCAGCGUCCUCUAAGCCAAUUGGCGCUCGAUGUACCUUCCUAUACCGUCCUCUUUAAACUUUUUGAAAAUCCAUGAAUAUAUUUUUCAAAAAUAGGUGAACUUUUUUCAUAAUAAUUGAACUUUUUUGAAAAUCUGAACUUUCUUAAAUUCUGUGAACUUUUCUCAAAUUUUUAAUGACCAAGACAUUUUUUACAUUGGCUGGCCCAUGAGGAGGAGUGUUGCACGCGCCGGUUUCCCUAACUGGCGCUGAAGGCGCCAAAUAGGAGGGGACUUCCUAUACCAUACCUUCAGCGUCCUCUAAGCCAAUUGGCGCUCGCUGUAUCGAAUUCAUGGGCCGACCAACGACGCGCAACACAAGCGCAAAAGUCCUAAAAAAUGAUGGGGAUUGAUCUGCGACGGCGCGCUGGCCCAAACUUUUGGCCGGCCGCGCGCGAGCGGCAGGAUCCACCAACCCCGCGUCGUCCGCACCAUUGGAUCCGCAUGCAACAUUUUUUUUUCCUAUGCAGCAAAAUUUCGAUUCGAUGCGAUGCAGCAAUUUUUUUAACGGUUGCAACAAAAAACAAAAAUUGUGCCAAAAAAAUAUUUACGUGAUCGUAGCAAAAAAAUAAAGCUGAUGGUACGUGGUAGCAAAAGUCAAACGCCGAUUGUAACAAAUAUUUAUGUGACGUGUAUGCAACUUUUUUAGUGAACAGUUGCAGCAAACAUGAUGCCGGUUGUAGCAAAAAUUAACACGGUUGUAGCAAAAAGUAAAAAACAUCGAUUGUAACGAAAAAUCCAACGAACUGGUGUUGCAACCAAACGUAUAUGCAGCUUUUUUACUGAAACAAAAAAUAGUAAAAAAACGCUUGCAGCAAAAAUGACGCUGGUUGCAACAUAUUUAGACGAAAAAUGUUGCAUCCAUUGACCAGAAAAGCGCGCGGGUGGAAAAAAUGUUGCAAGGACCCGCGCGCGCGAGGGGAUGACCGGCGCGCGGGUGGGAAACGAUUCCCAAGAAUGAUUGGGGCUUUGACUCGAACUCAGGUCCUCUCAUUCCUACAUCUUCUCUGCUAACCACUAGUCCUAGAAGCUAAUAGUAAUCAACUGAACCUCAAAAAUAUUUAAGAAUACUCUAGCCACGUAGUUCCAAAAUCUGAAAGUUCACAUAUUUUUAAAAAGUUCACGAUUGUUUUCUUAAAAAAGCCUCACGUAUUCGAAAAACAAAAUCACGAAAUUGAAAAUUCAUUAAUUUGAGAAUAAAAUUUCACAAAUUUUCAAAAAAAUCUCUAAUUUAAGAAAAGUUUGUAAGUUUGAAAAACGUUAACAGAUUUGAAAAUGUUCACAAGAUCCACAUAAGUUCACCAAAUUGUUAAAAAAAUUCAAGAAUCUUUAAAAAGUUCCAUCAAAUUCGAAAAAAGUUCAUCAAUUUUGAAAAAAGUUCAACGGAUUUCAAAACAAGUUCAUUGAUAUUUUUUUUUUAAGUUCAUCGAAUCUGCAACAGUUUUAUCAAUUUAAAAAAAGUUCAGUGUAUUUUCAAAAAAGUUUAUCAUUUUUUAUAAAUAUUUUGAACAAAAACUUGGAAAAGGUUCAUUGGAUUCGAAAAAGGUUCACCGAAUUUUGAAAAUUUCAUCAAGUUUAAAAAUAGUUCACCAUUUCGUAAAAAGUUCACAAAUUCAAAGGAAAAAAAUCAUCAAUGUUGGAAAAAGUUCAUUGGUUUUUCUAAAAAAAGUUCAUUGUAUUUGAAAAAGUUUGUCAAAUUUGAAAGAAGUUCACUGAACUAGGAAAGAGUUCAUCAAAUUUUAAAAAUUGUGGAUGGAUUAAAAAAUAAACGACUAAGAAAGAAGGAAAAUUAAAAAGAAAAUAAAAACAAAAACAGAAAACAGAUAAAAGGAAAAAUGAAAAAAGAAGAAACAAUGAUAAGGUAAAAAUGACGUAUGUUGACACAUCAAGGAAUGUGGUUACCACUCUUCGCACCGAGCUAGGAGAUCCUGGGUUCGAAUCCUACUCCUUUCCAAUAUUUGAAUGAACAGACAGACGUAAAUGGGCUAACCGGCGCCUGCAGCAUUAAAUAGGAAAUGCCGAAAUGACGAAUAGGAGGUCCCAAAAAACUGUGUGUGCCUGUGCUAGAUUGGGUCAGGCGCAUGUCUGCCUCGCGCACUAGGCUUGGCCCAUCAUCGGUGUGCUUGAGACGAGGAAGUCUUAAGCGAGACAUAGAGGCUCUCACGAAGUAUAGCAUUGUGGACUGGAGUAGAAUAUAGUUCUUUUAAGCUAAGCCUAACCCCCUUUAUGGCCCAAUACAUAUAUAAACACUACACACUCUGUGCCGGCCUACAUGCACUGACCCGAACUUGUACUCGAUCUGGUCAUGGCCCACAAAAUUGGAUCAUUCUACGUUCGAUUCUCCUUUUCUGCUGAAAAAAAUGCAAGACAAUAGAGCAUUUUUUAGGAAGCAAUACCACUAUAUAUGUUGUCAUUGCAACAAUCUAUUAUAUUAAGAGCAUCUACACCCGGACCCCUCAUACAUGUCUCAAACGCCUCGACAGGCCGUCCGACCAGUGAUCGGUCACAAAAACGCGACCCAACCGAACCUCUUAAAUCCGUCUCAAACGCCCGAGCUGACCGGCACUGCUCAUAUCCGGCCCAAAUAUAGGGCUGAUAUGGGGCGGUCCGGUCACACCGGGUGUGUCUGCCCGGUAAGCCCGGUCCAACACUGACCCCACCGUUGUCCCACAAAAUCCCCACUUUGGCCGCCUCGUUCCGAACUCUAGCUCACUCUCUCUCGCUCUGUCCCCUCCUCCCCCUCUUCGAGUAUGAUCCCAUCGUGUCCAAUGUCGAUCUCCGACAGCCGCUCCGGCUCCGACGGUCGCUCCGGCUCCAACGGCUCGGACAUCGACCCCGAGGAGUUGGCCCUCCGCAUCGCCUUGGAGCGCGGUCCAAGGUGGAGACGGCCGGAAGCUCCGGAUCUAGCGCUUAGCCACUGGUCCCGCGUCGACGGAUCUAUGACAUCGAAGCGGGACCCUCCCGGCACGCGAGCAGCUCCGUCGGGACUGCGUCCGCACCUGCCCUGCGUGCUGCCCUUUCCCCGCCGGCCGCUCCUCCACGCGGGCAUCAUUGGGUCCUAGUACCCGCACCAUUGGCCUGCACGGGCACUCCGGAAUCGGAGGCGCGCACCGCCCACCGUGAGAGGCAGCGGGCAAGGGAGAGGGAAACAAAGCAGUCUGUGCGCCACCGUCGCGAGAUGCCGGCUGAGCCCGACAAGGACGAACGCCUCCUCGCAUGGGUGUACCUCGGGUCCCUCACGACGGCAGAGACGAGUGUUCGACACCUUCGUCAGAAGAACGCCAAGGCGUUUCAGCUUGCUAUUGAGCAGUCGGAGCGCGAAGCGAAGGAGCUAGCGGAGGAGAAGGCUCGACUCGCCAAGAUGAAGCGGGAGCAGUACAGGGCCGUCCGUCGGAUGAAUGGCCUCAUCGUCUUCUUGGACUCGGACUCUGACGACGGCAACAACGACACCUCGCCCUUUGACCCUCCGCCAGCCACGAACGGCUACAACUGCGUCGACGACCCACAGGGCAAAGGGCCAGCAAGGAAGUGGUGAUCUGCCCCCCCCCCUCUACGCAUUAUUUAUAUACUCCCUCCGUCCCAAAAUUCUUGUCUUAUUGUCUAAAAAUGGAUGUAUCUAAGUACUAAAACAUAACUAGAUGCAUUCAUAUCUAUACAAAUGUAAGACAAGAAUUUUGGGACGGAGGGAGUAGUUUUUAGUUGUAGUAACGUAAGAAAUUUGUCCGAUGAACUUGAGAUGAUCUUGUGGCUGAUGUUUGAUGUCCGUUUGAAGUUGAUUUUGUGUUUGUGCGUUUUUGAUUUUGUUGUCCUAUGUUUUUUCACGUACAAUAGCUCAACGUUGCGUGGGUAGUACGGAUAUGGGUGUCGGAUAUAAGACAAGCGGAUGUGAAAAGGAAAAUAUGAAACGCGUCUGGCCAGUGUACGAGACGCGACCGUUUGAGGGGUUAGAUUUGCAAGUUACGACUAUAGAUGCUCUAAAUACUAUCUUUCCUGGUUAAAAAGACACUUAAGGCCCCUCCCCACUUCACCUAUGUCUUCGGUUUUGCCGAUUCUUCUCAUUGAUUUUUCUUAAAAGACACCUCAACUGUCUCAUGUAUUUUUAUAGCUUAGCAAAUAAAAUUAUGUUUUCGUUGGUAUGUCUAUAGGUGCUAGUUUAAUUGACAGUCGAUAUAUUAGCAGUUAUGGCGAAGCCACAAGUUCAAAGUUAUGAUCUCAAUUCAUAAUUGUGACCAAAUACGUGUGUUUAUAUGAUUUUUUUUCUUUCUUGAUUUCUACUUAUAUGUGUUGCUUUUGCACAAAUACUGUAUAGUCAACUGACUACACAGAACACAUGUGGAGUCGUCAUUGUGUAAUCACACUUACACACUAUCAAUAAAAUGACGGGUAAAUCAUGAUGAGUGCGUGCAAAAUAUUUAUGCCUCGUUGCAACACCAACCAUUAUCUAAUAGUAGUAGUUAAGAAACAAUAUCCCUGGUCCUCAAAAGGUUCUCCCUUUGCGGCAGCAAGCACAACUUGGUCAGUAACUUGUCAACUCUCAGAGCCAUUCAUGCAUCAUCACCUGAUUAAUUAUUAUUUUUAACGCAAUCACCUGAUUAAUUAAUAACUGGUGAGGGUAUAUCCGUACACAUGCAGCUCAGCUAAUUAGCCACUAGCUGCGGUUGACAUCACUUGCAUAGCUUGUGGGGCAUCACUUUGCUUUCAGCACAAGGAAGUGGUUAAUUAAUCACUUAUUUGAGCUAAGUACCAAUCCAACGUGUGCUUUUGCUUCGUCUUAGGAAGCAGGUUAUGGAGCUGUCUCGUUGAUACCUAGCUACUUGGCACUUGCAGUGGUCAAACACUUGGUAGAAAACAUUUUUUAAUUUUGAGCGUGUUCAUUCUGAUGGAUCGAGAUAGCUUGACCCCUUCAAGUUAUAUGUAAUAAUGCACAUCGAUUGUACAAGCAAAAGGCCGAUUUAAUAUACUCAUGGCAUUAUAUUACUCCGUUGCAUUACGUGAGAGAAUUCUCAAUGAUGAGUGCCAUGCAUGCACAAGGUGAAAAAACAACAAAAACAAUGAAGCGUGCAUGGUUGAUCAAGGUAUCAGUUUACCAUCCCAUUGUUUUUUUUAUCUACCGGUGGUCUACGAAUUCAUAUGUGCUAGUAUUCAGUUGGUAUAACCAUAAUCAGCGAAAAAUUCGAUGGGGCAUCAUGUAUCCGCAGCUUAGUUAUACGCAUACAUACGUAAAAUAUUCAACCCAUGCUACAAAAAAUACUUUUAUCCAUGUGGCAAUCUUGCAUUGCUCCAUAUAUAAUUUCUCAAAUAAAUUGCUAAGAUAUAUUUAAUUAUUAGAUACACGCAUGCCUAUAUGGUUGUUUAAUUACCUUUCACAACAUUUAGUUACUUUUUGUCAAUAACAUUUAACAAAUGUACAACUUGUACUAGUAAGUACGUACAACAAACAAAAUGUAGAUAUAUUGUUACCGCGACGCAUCGCUCAUAGGAGUGGACACGAAAUAGAUAGUGAUAUUGGGCAUUGCUAUUUUCUCCUUAUUGAAUUAAUAUCACAAUUGAUUCGUGUGUACAAAAUAUGAGCAUGACGCCGAGCAGUUGAGUGGCCCCAAUGUGAAUUUAUUUCUAACACCACCUACACCCCAAAUCUAAUGUUGUUAUUCAUGACCAAGUAAUCUUAUUAUUUAUGUGCCUCGUGAGUUUGCUCUUCAUAUUCGGGUUUGCAUUUGUGCAAAUGUGAGCUUCAUUAUCUUCAUGUAUGUAGAUCCGGGUUCCCUCUGCUAUGAUACCAAUUGUAGGAAACCUACUAUGUGAUGGCUUUGAUACCCAUAAUACUUGAGAACCUUCACACUCUCAAAUAAUGGGGAUAACUCGAUCUUUUAUUCACAACCACUAAUAGAAAAACUACUUUACGUGAGAUACAUUAGUCCCUGUUUGUAAACGGACGGGCACUAAUGUGACCAUUAGUGCCGGUUUAAACGGCUAGGGAGGCGCGCAUCAUUAGUCAUGAUUCGUGUUGAACCUCUAGUACCGGUUCGUGACACGAACCGGGACUAAUGGAGUGGUGACAGGCUGGUGUCUGCCUGCUUCAACUCAUGAUACUUGGUACAAACUUUAUUGGUGUCUACCUGCCAUUCUCAUUCAUAGCGGGUCCUACUACUACCUUGGUUCUCUUUCUACCUUGCUUAGUUUGGUUUAUCUUAGGAGGGGAGUCCAUCCCUAUCUAGAGUUGCACAUGACCAUUAGAUUGAUGGCAGGUGGCAACCAUCCAAAACCAAUGCAGUCAUUGCUCUCUGAAUAACCUAGAAAACACCCUACAAAUAUCUUAUAUCUAGUGUUCUCUUUAAUUUGCCACAUAAUUUAUUCAAACAUUUGUUCUAGAACCACCGAGAGAAAUAACAACUCAUGUGUAUUAAUAUCCAAAUGAUCUAGAAGUUUCUUAUCUUUGAGAUGAAUAACUUCUCUAGUAUCCUCCAUGGCAAAUAUCUUGACGUUCUCGAUUCUUAGAAAUAUCUUCAGUGACCCAAGUAUGCAUUGCAUAUUAUCAACAAUAGGAAAUCGAUAGAGUAUCUCAAGAAUGUAAACAACUAUCGGCUAUGGCAUGUCACCGUAUGAGGCCAAAUGGUGUGCAUAUGUCAACAUAGGGAGGAUAUCUAGUGGCCAAGCACUCCCGGUGCUGCCAAUGCACAAAAUCACCAUUCUAUUACUUUCUUUUUUCUUAAAAUGUUAAGUGAGUCAAUAAGAUAUGUUUGUACAAUGUGUGAAAUUUUGAAAUCAAUUCAACCUACAUAUGAUGGAGAAGCAAAAAUAAAUAAAUAAAUAAAUAGAAAUUCAGCCAUGAUGGUGUUUGUAUUUUGAUUUUUUAUAAUAUUCAUAGUUGGAUUUAUCUUUUUCGAGUAAGAUGUUUUUAUCCUCUAUCUACAUACUCCCCCUGUUCCAAAAUAAUUGUCUUAAUCUUGUACUAAUCUUAGUAUAAAAUUAUACUAAUUUUGAGAUACUUAUUUUGUGACGGAGGAAGUGGAAUUUUGUGGUGCCGACCUCUUAGGUGGGACACACACAUGCUUCCAUCGAUGUCCAUGCAUAGGAUGAUGGGAAUAUCAGCAUCUGUCAUUUUUUUUCUAACUGUUUUUACUUCUUCCUUUUUCCAACUAGCUUAGCCUAUCAAUUGCUUGUUCGUGUACAUACUUGUGUGUCUCUCUCGAUAAACUUGUCGUUCCUUGGGUGCGAUGACUUCGCAAGGAAUCCAACCUUUCUACCAGUAAAAAAAAAAAAGACAAGCCAUUGCUCUCCUCUUUAUUUUAAAGUACAUGCACUUCAAUUAUGCACGUCUCUUCCCCCUAACACGAGCAUGCAUUAUAAGUUGCUACUAUUCUAUAAGCUCCAAUUGAUUCAUCCAAAGUCCAAGAUUUGGUUACAAUAAAUAAGGAAAGUAAUUUUAAACUAAUACGAAUUUUAUUCAAUGAAUGUUCACAAUUUACAUCCUAGUUCACCCUACAUAUACAUACAUAUACACACAAGUUAAACAUGCAUCUACAAUCAGUUCUACCUAUCUUGUGACAUAAUUGUGUUCUUCUUCUACUCCGGCCUAUAAUAUCUUACACUAAUCAAUUAACUUUACACAAUAUACGGUACUAAUUUAGCCUGAUCUACAAAUUAUGCAUGAGUAAUAUCCCCCUCGAUCCAUUGAUCGACCGGCAUCAAUAGUGAAUAAUUGAUUAAUAUGUCUGCAGUCAAAUCGCUAGCUAGCUUUCUCCUAGCCCUAAUUAUCAAGGUAGCAUGCAUGGAUCAUAUCCUGUCCUGCUGGGAAGGCUGGUCUGGCCCAAAUAUGGAGAAGCCGCCGUUCAUCAUCGUCAUGGACCCAUCGCUACCCAACCACCUCUUGGAAGCGUGCAACGACGACAUUUCACCAUCGUUAUUGCUGUCCGCCGUCGCCUGCCUCUUCCGCGCCGUGCUGGCCUCGCCGUCGCUGGCCCCAGCAGUGGUGCCGAGGAAGAACUGGCCGACGGAGGUUGCAAUCUCCGGCUGUGGCGGCGGCAUGCUGUCGAAGAGCUCCGAGACGGCUGAGUAGUCCACGAGGUAGUCGGAGAUGGACGGGUUCCUCGGCAGCAUCCGGGAGGAGGAGGAGGUGUCCUCUUGCUGCUGAUGUUGCUGCUGCUGCUGCUGCUGCUGGUGGUGGUGGUGGCCGUGGCCGAGGCCGAGGGUGGCGUCCAUGGACGACGGCGACGGCGACGGCUCGUAGAAGGGCGACAGCUGCUGCGGGUUGGGCUUCUUGUAGAUCCUGCACAGCACCCAAUCAUCCAGCUGCACGCACACAAGAAGGUGAAUCAGUGCCACACACGUGUGUGCAUGUAUGUUGCAACAAACGGUCGCUUGCUAAGCUUGACAGGUAGUUGGUGCUGGUUAGCUAGUAGGUUGUGGCUUGUAAGGUAAUAGUGCAAGUCUCUUUCUUAGGGAAGGAAGAUCCCAGCGGUGAAAGAAACUAUAGCUAAUAGGACGGACAGUGGCUUCCUAGCUCAUUGACCAGGUUAGUUGCUUGCUCGAGCUCAACUCACUGACAUCCACGCACACGCAACUAAUAAGAAGAGAACAAAAGAUUCCUAGCUAGCUCCAACGAGAUGCCUUCCUCGUUAAUUUGCAGCCGCAGAAAACAUGCAUAUGCAUGUGUGAUCAAUCAAGAAGAAAUAAUAAAGCAUGAAAUUACCGAGUACAACAAGAUGAUGGAGAGAGCCAUCGCAAAAAAAGAAAAAAAGAAAGAUGAUGGAGAAAGAGUUGUGCAUGCAUGCGUACCCUCAUGGAGGACGAGGCCUUGAACCGCGUGGGGGGCCGGUAUGUGUGCGCGGCGGCGGCGGCGGCGGCGUGGGCGUCGGCGAGGCGGUACUCGUGCAUGAUCCAGUUCGUCUUGUGCCCCUUGGGCGGACGGCCCUGGUAGAACACGAGCGCCUUCUUGACGCCGACCAUCUCGCCGCCGGGCACGCCGCCGGCCGUGAUGGGCUUGUCGGUGCCGGUGGCCUUCCAGUAGCCCGACCCGGCGGCGCGGUUGGGGCGGACGCCGUUGGGGUACUUGCGGUCGCGGGGGCUGAAGAAGUACCACUCGUCGUUGUCGCCCUCGAACACCGCGCGGGACGGCAGCUCCCACGGGUCCAGCUUGUAGAUGUCCACCUCCGCGAUGACGGCCGCCGGGCACGGCGCCGCGGCCGCGCGCCUGCGGAGGUAGUGCACGAUCAGCUCCUCGUCCGUCGGGUAGAACCGGAACCCCGGCGGCAGCCCCGUGCCCGCCGGCGCCGGGAGCGACGUCGGCCUCGUCUGCAGCUCGAUCGUCAUCACACACACCCGAUCGAACGCUCGGUCAGGGGCUCAAGGCGGCGAGGGAAGGGAAGGGAAGGUGGGUCGAGAGUCGAGACGGAGGAGAACUGAAAUUUUCGGAGGUGGAGGCGACGGGUGCGGUUAUAAAGGCGCCGAGGUGCUCCGGCGCAUGGCAGGCUCUUGUAAUUCUUGGCCGCCGGUGACGAGAGGGAUGAUGAUUGCAAGGGCCCUGCCGUACGUGCGCGUCCAUCCAUAUCACGUCAUCGGCGCUCGCAGGCUCACGUACUUGGCCAGAAUCUUCAAUUUGUUGGAAUAUUUUCUCUCUUUUUUGUGCCAUGUGAGAACGAGAGAGUGGGGGAAAAUAUAUCCGAAAAAGACAUUAGCAGAAUGAAUGGAUGAAAAUUGUGCAAAUGAUUGGAGAAGUUGGAUAUUCGGCUCGGUUUGUAGGACCGGGAAGCGUUCAUGGCCCAGAGGAAUACCAUAGCACAUGAAUACCAGGUACGGUGUUUUUGUGUGUGUUUUCAUUGACCACGCAGGAAUAGCUACUCCUAUGCAUGCAUGCACUGAUGCACAUGCAUGGUGCCAUUUGCUGCUGGCUGAGACAUUUCAAAGAAAAUUAGUAUUAUUCAUUGCUGAAAUGCAAAGCUCGGAAAAUCAUUGGAGUUGUCAUAGACUACAAACUACAAGUUGAUUGAAUUCAGAUCAAGAUUUUUGUAGGCCCGGGAUUAUCCGAUCUUCAUUUAAUUCUGUUCAUUGCUAAAACGGAGGGACUUAGGAGUAUGCAUGCACAUGCAUUAGAGUCAUCUGCUGCUUAGCUGCUAGCCGAGACAUACAAAAUUAUAUUCCCUGCUGGUAUGCAAAACCAUUGGAGCUGUCUAGACUACUAAUUGAUUGAAGUUGCUUAAAUAUCUCCAUCAAACUCUAAGCAUUCAGAUCAAGAUUUAAUCAUUUUCAUAAAGCGCACGAAGGUUCUACUUGCACAGUUGAAGAGUGAAAUUUAAGAACUGGUAGUGCGCAAUUUGUAGUAACUGAAUCCAAAAGGAAAGGUACCUACGGGCGAGUUCCACUUCAUAAAAGGGGCGGUUUUGGACAAGAUUGACGACUAGUUUAUAUAGCUAUAUAUGUGUAACAAAUUAACAACCAAUAGAACUAUAAUAUUGAUGAAAAUACUCCUUGAUACUAAUCUAACCAUAUGAUUCAUGUUUCAUAUCCAAAUAUAAAAAAAUGAUAUCCAUAGUAAAUCAUUUCAUCGUUUGACAUACAACAUGUAUGUAUUCGUGGCAGUAAGAAUUAGCAAACUAAGAAUCAUUGAAAUUAAUGAAAUCAUUAAAUCACUACAAAUUGCUACCGCCCGAUUGCUAAUUAGAGUACAAACAACAUUAUAGAUCCAAAUAUCCCGCAAAAAAAAGCAUUAUAGAUCCAAAAUAAUGAAACCUCAACUUCAUCAGAGCAUCUCAAUUAACUAGUGUGUUAUGUUGUCAGAAAUUAUAUAUAUUCAUAUCAUCGACUGUAUACAACCACUCCAACAGAGUGUUUCUAAGUUAAUUUGCUCUCUAUUUUGACAUUGGAUCUUAUGCAUGUCUCUGUUACAUUAUUAUAAACCAUACGUUGCCGAUUUUAUGAGCAAUAACCUACCCCGCGGCGGGGAUGGAGGGUGUGUGGUGAUAGACAAACACGGCUAUUGAGUGGUAACAAAAACCCUACUCAUUAUACGACUAAUACAGUAGAUACAGUAGAAGAUCUAAGUUCCAGUAGAUGGUGAGAGAAUCAAAGCUUGCUCUAUUUCCACCUUGGAGCUUGUGCAUAGCAUUAUGGUUCAUCUAAAUACAAGCUUCAUAUAUAUCCUUAUAUUAUUUAGUUUAAUUAUGUGAUGUCACAUAAAUUUUACAUGACAAAUUUUACCCAUGAUCAUGUCACCAAACACCAAAUGCUUGCGAUGCCGCUAGCUAUGAGACGAAAUUAGCUUACACCAUUAAUAUAUCCUUUUUUAGGCCGGAUUUGACUUUUGUGCCUUGUGAUGGGAAUGAUUGGCUUGCGUGCUAAACUGGCUUAGCUAAGCUCUAGGUAGUCCGAAGUCGCUGGAGACUCUGGAGAAAGCUUUUUCGUCUACUCUUACUCCACAAGAAGAAUAUGCACGACCGGGCCAUCACCUGAUCGAUUAUAUGGAUAGUUUAAUCUAUGGAGAAUUCCAUCAAGCCGCGCGACUAUAUAUAUAAUCUUCAAUUAUAUCUGAUUUUGUACAAGGUACUGGUGAACUAUGCACUACUCGAUCGAUUUGCUUGCGUAGGUCAGAUUGAAAAAACAGUGCACAUCAACUCAAUUAUGUAUGUGCAUAGGAUCGAAUGAUUCGCUGGGGAUAUGCCGAUAAACCCUAGGAAGAAGUUAAAGCUAGCUAGCUAGCUACUCCCUCCGUUACGGUUUAGAAGGCACAGUUAAACUUGUGUGCGUUUUUAAAAUAGACAAGGUUUAAACGCGAAAGCAAUUACUCCUAUUAAUUAGUACUAGUACUACUCAUGCAUGCGUCCUCCUAAUUUGUUGCUCACGCAUUAGUACUAGUAUUUUUUCAGUUGAUUAGGCGCAUUAGCAUCUACACCUGCUACAUCUCACAACCAAUCGGUGACUACCUUGGUACCAGAGAUUUUUUCAAACGUGUCUUCUAAACCGUGACGGAGGGAGUAGCAGACAUGGUUUAAGAGUAUACAAAUAAAUCCAGUCUUUUUAUGCAUGCAAGCAUGCAUUAAAGGGCCAGCACUAGCUCUUGUUUUGCACUUUUUUUACGAAUAACUGGCCUCAGCGUAAUUAACAACAUGCAUACAGUCAACACAUCUGAUUUUUAUUAAAACAUCACUUUAAAGGAACCAUAAAUAAGAAGUAGCCUGGGAUAUAUGAGGUCCUAUUCGAGGGUGGGGAAAAACAUUUCUGUAUGCUUCAAUCGAGUGGACACCAUCAUAAAAAGAUACAUAUCUUCCGGCCUCGGACAGACCUAGCUAGUAAGAAGUCAUUGUAUAUUUGUAUACACACAUAAAUAACCUUGAGUAUGGAGGUAGCUACUAGCCAAGUUGAUGAGAUUAUUGUGCAUGUGGUUUCUCUCUUUAGAAAGUGCCUGUGCAUGCAGCUUAACUUCUCCCUCGAAUUAACCUCAUAAGACACUAGCAUAACGUACACAUAAUCAUACUUAUAAGUUAUAAUUAAGCAAACAUAUGCACGCAUGCAUGCCACCAGCAGUACAUACAGUACAAAAUCUAUCUAUCUGAUCCAUUUCGCACGUGCGUGCUUUCAGGGACAGUAACGUUGCACAAGGCGUGACGGCGCCUUCUCUUCCUCCGGCUUAUUAUUACAUGCAUACCAAGGCUGUCCACGUGUACAACACCCGGCCGGCCUGUCAGAGUCUCUCUUACGUGCCGACCAUGGAUGCAUAUAAGCUAUAGCAGGAGCAUCGAUCCUACAGCUAGAUCAUCUUGAGGAGGAGUAGCUUACAUCUGCGUGUACAGCUGGUGCAUGCAACUGGUGGGUCCAUCAUCAUAUGCUGAUGGUUCAGCUAGAUAUACUUUCAUGCAUGCACACGUGUGUGUAGGUGCUCGAGCGGGUCCCGUCUAAUUCUUGUUAUGAAAAGGAUGCAGAGGGAGGGAGGGAGACUAGUCGCCGAUCAUGACAUCCACUCGUGCUAUGCUGGCUACUUCUACCCAUCUCAUACACGGUUUGGCAUGCCAAACACUGCUAGGACUUUUUUCUAUAUAUAUCCUUGCGUACUUAAUCAUAUCUCGAAAAUCGAUGCAUAUAUGGCAUAUAUACAUGCAUGCGCAAAGGAAAGUCUUUUUAGUUUUCAAACGAUAAAUGUCACAAGUGUGACAUGAAAUAACACCGUCCUGACGUUUUAUAAACGAAAAUUGUUAUCAAACAGAAAGUUGGCGUGCUUCACAAUUAAAAUUGGCAUCCUCCGAUAACUAAACUUGUCAUCAAAAAAUGUUGAAAUUGCUUCUUGCCAUACAUGUGACGUUUAUCAUGGUCCUUUAGUUUCAAGAAAAGUCAAAAUUGAUUCUACGUACCAACCGGUCAGCUUGGUUAAUUAGCUACCAACAAAAUUUGCAAUAAAAAUGAUUAUAAGAGGUUUAGAGCUAAAAUUGUAUUUUGGACCUGUGUGUUUAGCGCCUAUUGAAGGCAUAAAUCGAUGGAAUUUGGAUUUAAAAUUUUCGACGCAUUUUCUCACAAUUUGUUGUCUUUUGGUGGCCGGUGCAUGAAUAGUAGCACUGUAAAGUUUGACGGUACAUCAAUAAUAGAUAGACAAUAUUUUGAGUUGGAUAGAUAGGUACUUUCUCAAAGAGCAGUACUAACUAUCUUAGUAGCAAAGUGGCAUCUCUCCUAGUAUUUUCGGAUAAGUGCAUCGAUAUCUCCUAGUAACACACGUACGUACUACUUAGUUAUUACCAGUGUAUUCAUGUAGGCACACGUGGUCAGGUUCGAGUGGACGAUGAGUGGCUAGCGAGCUAAACAAGCUACCCAGCUAGUGCCAAAUAAGAGGGAAGAAAUGCAAUACGUGAUUGAUAGGACGAUGAUACGGACGGAUGGAUGGUGAUCGAUCAUCCCCGUACCCAUCAAAUAUCGUUUUCAGGUUAAAGCAGCAGCUAUUUCCAGAGAUCGAUAGCAAGACACGCAUGCACGUGUCGACAGGCCGGAAAGAUGGAAUCUAUUUUCAUGAUAUAUAUGCAUCAUUUGUUUAUUUAUUUGUGAAAGGGCAAAAUUCCAUAUAUAAAACAUCACAAAUCUUUAUAAAACAAUCUUACAAAAUUUAAAAAUACAUCUAAAUCUUUGGAGGUGCUGAAGUCUUCUUUCUCCUACACAUAUGAUGGCAUGCCUUAUUACCGUCUCUAGGACUUCGUCUCAGCGGAGUAUACUCUUUUUUGUUCGAAUUCAAUGGAGCUAACUUGGUGAAACGCAGGAACGAAACAAGUAUGUGCAUGUAAAAUUGAAACAUAAACACGACCAUUUGUGCUUGGUGCAAGAAGAGCAAAACGGCCAAGCAGCGGUGUGAGCUACAAGUGCGGAAACAAGCAACCAACAUGUUAUUUUUGCACUGCACCAGCAAAUGAUCAAGUUUCAGUUUCAAAAUUUGCAUGCACAUACUUUAUAUUCAUUCUCUACGCAUGCAUGAUUAUUAUGAACUUUUAAAAACUUACAUGAUGUGUUUUUCAGAACCAAAACUCACUAUAGAGAGUCCGACGCACCCAGUACCACAUUAGCACUUUCCAGGUGUAUAUGCUACAUCUGGUACUUCCCCCCGUUUUCUUGGUGUUGGAAACUUCAAACCUGACGAUCCAUCUAGUGGACUUGAUAAUUAAUGGUCAUGGAUAAUACAGUGAAAGCAUUUGUGGUGCCAUUUACUUGACUGCUACAUGCGGUAGCAGCCUCAUGAAGUCAUGAGUCUUGAUCGCCAUGGGUACGUACAGGCCAGCCACAAGAACAUGCAUUUUUGUCUUUCUCGUGACUCGAUCAAUCGAUCAAUCAUGCCCACAUAAUCGAAAUUUCUCUCCUCCGCCAAGUAAAUAAAAUUGUAUGUAUCGAUGGGGUUAACUGAAUUUCACAUAAUUGACCCGACCGAUCGAUCGAGGCAAAAGAGGGAGCGCAAAGUGAGCAACAUCAACAGCACGUGCCACUCGAUAGCUAGGUGCCAAACAGAAAGAAAGAUAGAAAGAAGUAAAACCGGCCAAGCAGGAGUUUUCCCUAUACGUGAAUGUGACCCGUUCAGUGCAUGCAUACAUAUGUAUAUUUAUUCCACUUUUGACCCGACCACAUCAAUCGUAUCUAAUCUCUUGUAGCACAAAGGGAUGACUCGGUUCCAAGUUGUGAUGUUUACUGUGUACCUCAAGUUGUUUGUCUAUUUCAUUGCUCUUCACUCUUAUACGACGCUAAGCACUUGAAUUUUUGAGAGACGUUAAAUUCAGCCAGUGCAACAGGAGCGUGCACCGGAAAUUUUCUUCUCCGCCCACUUCCUACGUUACGUACGCAUAGGUGGUCUUUGGUUGGGUUAUGGAUUUUGUGAAAUAAAUAGGUGGUCUUUUAGCAAACAUCUCAUACAAUAAUUGUAUUUUUGAACAGUUGUAAUUUUUAAUGACAAAACUGAAUAGUGAAACACAACUAGUGGCAUAAUGAUAAAAACCCGUUAAUGUGAGGAGCCAAAGGAAAAAAGAAGAAUGAAGUGGUAUGGGGAUCCUACUGGCAAUAUUUUGUACUACCUAGGACUACUAUUCCAUCAGCCACUCAUCAGAGUUCCUCUCAAAGAAACCAAAGAAAAAUGACUCCGGACAAAGUUGAUUUUUUUCUUUCAAAACAUCAUAUCACUGAAAGAAUAAUUAUGAGACAUCAAAACUUCAAACAUAGGGUUUGAUCCCUGAUGGGUUAUAGAUACCAUCAUUCUCUUAACCUAAUACUUUUUUUAAUGGAGGGAGCAUAUGACAUCCGGACGACUAUUAUUUUUCUGAGUUCUUAUUCGCGCACAAGCACACAAUCGACUCAGAAAAGUAAAUGAACUAGCUAGACGCAUACAUGGUACAUGCCACAUCUGGUGCUUUCGUCCCGCUUUCUUGGAGUGAAAAUUCCAAAGCAGACGAUCGAGUUAGCUAGUGAGCUUGGAUUUUGUGUGAUCGUCUAGUCUUGACUACUGGCAGCCUCUCUUAGUCUUGAUCACUACCUGCAGCCUGUCAAUAAACAUAUGCAUUUUGUUUCUCUCGUGACUCGCUCAGCCAAUCAUAUCCAUAUGAUUAAGGCGACUCUCUUCUUUCCGCGUGAAAACCAAUCGUGUCCAGGGUGUUGAUUAUAGUUGACGGGUUAAAGGAGGAACGUAAACAACAAGAACAACACGUGCUAGAUGCCCCGCUGCCAAUCAGAAAGAAAGAAGUAAAACCGGCCAUCAAAGCAGGAGUUUUCCCAAAGUGACUACUGUUCGGUGCAUGAAUAUAUUAUAUUACUACCUUUUCCCACUUUUGACCCGACCAAUCGUUCUAUCCAAUCCAUCCAAUCUCCUCAAGCACAAAGGGGGCGACGCUAUUCGAGGCUGCAGUAACGCUGUCAAAAUUCGAUUCUUUUACGACGCUAAUUAAGCACUUGAUUAUGGAGAUGCAUUAGUUUGGUCAGAGCAACACGAGAGCUACUGGUGCCCUAACGCACGACGCGGGCAUGCGCCUGAUCAAACUAGCACGGGCACACACAGUUUUCCUCACUUUAAUUUUACCGACCAUCAUGACAAAUAUCUUACUCGAGCAACUUCCUAAGACAAAAGCAAAAGCACACGUUGGAUUGGUAGUUAGCUCAAAUAACUGAUUAAUUAAGCACUUUCUUGUGCUGAAAGGAAAGUGAUGCCCCACAAGCUAUGCAAGAAUGUCAACCGUAGCUAGUGGCUAAUUAGCUGAGUUGCAUGUGUACGGAUAUGCCCUCGUCAGUUAUGAAUUAAUCAAGUGAUGGUGCAUGAAUGGCCUUAAGAGUUGACCAAUUACUCACCAAGUUGUUCUUGCUGCCACAAAGGGAGAACCUUUUUGACGAUUGGGAAAACUGUUUUUAGCUGCUACUCCCUUGCAUUUUAGUUGAUCUUUAAUUUAACUAAGUAAAUAAUAAGUUAUACUCUAGGUCAAAAUUAAAGUAUACCACACACUAGUAGAAAAAGGGCCUUUAGCCCCGGUUCGGUUGGGUCAUUAGUCCCGAUUCACGAACCGGGACUAAUGCUAGCCCCGGUUCGGCCCCGAACCGGGGCUAAUGUCCUUCCACGUGGCGGGGCUAGGAGCGAGGGGGGAGGGGUAUUAGUCCCGGUUCAUAUUACGAACCGGGGUUAUUUCAUCGCAGUUUUUUGAGCAAUUUUUGGGUUUAGGGUUUUGCACUAAAUUGGAUGGGCUAUUUUGCUGCCCCCUAUUUUCUCAUUUAUUUGUUACAUAUAUAUUGCACAACUCACGAAUAUAUUACACCAUCUCAUCCGUCGUGCUUUGUCGAACAUAUUUACAAAAUGUAGACAUGAGUUACAUGCACAUAUAUGCAUCUUUUUUACACUAUAUGAUUUCAUAUCAUUUCCGUCGAAUGGCAAUAGUAUUCUAAUCGAUCAUCUAACAACUCAUCAUCAUCUUAAUCAUAUGCCAAGUUAUCAUAUGAUACACAUAAAAUAAAACAGAGAAACAUCAUAAUAGUCAUCAUAUGCAUGCAUCCUAAUCGAUCAUCUCAAGUAAUAAUAUAAACCAGAAUAACUUGUCUCUCAUAAGACCUACUCCUCGCUCUUAGGUAUAAUGUCAUAAAACAGAAUAAUACCUAUGUUUCCAUGAUGAAUCACAGAGAUCCAACGGUCUCCAACUUGUGGCUCGCGAACCUUCUUUAUUUCUCUCCAUGCUUCAAUUUGAAGCCUUUUUUAUCUUGAUUUGAGGUUACUCGAGUAUGGAGCAUCGAACUCAGCCCUCAACGGGCUUCUAAUUUUCAUUUGACCUUCUGGGAGCAUCAUCAGAGGCACUACAUCAUUUGGCAGUUGCUGCUGAAGAACAUAAUAAUAACCUAGUUAGCAAUGUAAUCAACACUAUUUAUGCAAUAGUACAGCGUACUUAAUUAGAAAACUCUUACCAAGAUAUUUCGACGAAUGUCAUCCGGCCUCAACCUAUGCACUAGUGGCAUGUAAAAUGUAUAAUUUUGACCAAUUCCAAAAUUAUACGGGAAGGUAUCCCUAGAAACCAGAACACUAGCAACAAGAAAGUGGAGAAGAACAUCCUUCUCCUCCUAAGUUAGAUGUGAUCCAUAUGUGUAGUGUGUCGUGUCAAUUAAUUUCCGUAAUUCAGUCGAAGCAAUGCAAUAAGCUGUAAAUUAUAAACCGAUGGCCCUAAAAUCUAAAUGGCAAUAGCCUUGGGGUGCCUAGAGCGGGAGGGGAGGGGGCGGCAGCGCCUGGAGGGGAAGGGCUUACCGGACCGGGAUGGGGAGGGGGCUGAUAUUUGUUGUGUAUCCCCGGCAACGGCGCCAGAAAUGCUUCUGAUGUUCGUUGUGCUACUGCACAAAAGACCUUCUGGUGACGCUAGAAAUGGGCACGUUCACGGCACUAGGAAUUCUUCUGCGUUGGUGUUCCCUUGAAGCGGAAAGGGUGAUGUAGCACAGCGACGGUAAGUAUUUCCCUCAAUUUGAGAACCAAGGUAUCAAUCCGGCGGAAGAGUAUCUCAAGAUCCUGUACAAACACAAAAGCUUGCACCCAACGCUAUGAAGGGGUUGUCAAUCCCUUAUAGAUUGUUUGCCAAGUAAGAACUGAAAGCAACAAAGUAACAAAGCACAGUAAAAGAGAGUUGAAACGAUGGAUGUGAAUAGACCCGGGGGCCGUAGUGUUUACUAGUGCCUUCUCUCAUGAAAGCAAGUAGACGGAGGGUGAACAAAUUACUGUCGAGCAAUUGAUAGAACUGUGCAGAAUCGUGAUGAUAUCUAUGCAAUGAUUAUUUCUAUAGGCAUCACAUCCGAAACAAGUAGACCGAUACUUUCUGCAUCUACUACUAUUACUCCACACGUCGACCGCUAUCCAGCACGCAUCUAGUGUAUUAAGUCCAUAAGAACAGAGUAACGCCUUAAGCAAGAUGACAUGAUGUAGAGGGAUAAUCUCAAACCAAUGAUAAAAACCCCAUCUUUUUACCCUUGAUGGCAACUCCUUGAUGUGUGCCUUGCUACCCCUACUGUCACUGGGAAAGGUCACCACAUGGCAGAACCCAAAACCAAGCACUUCUCCCAUUGCAAGAAUCAUAGAUCUAGUUGGCCAAACAAAAACCGAAGACUCAGAGAGACUUACAAGGAUAUCAAAUCAUGCAUAUAAGAAAUCAGCAAAGACUCAAAUAUAUAUCAUAGAUAAUCUGAUCACAAGUCCACAAUUCAUCGGAUCUCGAUAAACACACCGCCAAAGAAGAUUACAUCGGAUAGAUCUCCAUGAAGAUCAUGGAGAACUUUGUAUUGAAGAUCCAAGAGAGAGAGGAAGCCAUCUAGCUACUAACUACGGACCCGUAGGUCUGAAUUGAACUACUCACGAGUCAUUGGGGGGCGAUGAUGAUGAUGAAGAAGCCCUCCAACUCCAAAGUCCCCUCCGGCAGGGUGCCGGGAAGGGUCUCCAGAUGAGAUCUCGCGGAAACGGAAGCUUGCGGCGUCGAAAAAGUAUUUUCGAGGCUCCCCUAAUUUUUUUGCGGAAUAUUUGGGAAUUUAUAGGUCAAAGAUCUAGGUCAUGGGCGGCCAGGGAGGCCACAAGCCUGCCCACCGCCGCCUCCCCCUAGUGGCGGAGUGGGGGCUUGUGGGCUCCCUCGAGUCCACCUGGCUUGGCCCAAAAGCCCCAUGGACUUCUUCCGUUCGGGAAAAAAUUAUUUCGGGGUUUUUCUUCCGUUUGGACUCCGUUCCAAAAUCAGAUCUGAAAAGAGUCAAAAACACGGGAAAAACAGGAACUCGCACUUGGCACUGAAUUAAUAAGUUAGUCCCAAAAAGAUAUAAAAAGGUACAUAAAACAUACAAAGAAGGAAAGAUAACAGCGUGAAAUCAUCAAAAAUUAUAGAUACAUUUGAGACGUAUCAAGCAUCCCCAAGCUUAACUCCUGCUCGUCCUCGAGUAGGGAAGUGAUAAGAAUGAAUUUUUGAUGCUUUCAUGCUACCUAGCAUAGGUGUCCUUUGUAAUUCCUCUUAUGUGACGUGAAUGUUCAGAUCCAUUAGAUUCAAAACAAUAGUUUGCUAUUGACGUGGAAACAAUAAUAAUUCAAGCAAACUAGCAAAGUAAUCAUGAACUUUCAAAAUAACAAGGCCGAAAGAAAGUUAUCCCUACAAAAGCAUAUAGUCUAGCUAUGCUCUAUCAUCAUUGCACAACGAAUUUAAAUCAUGCACAACCCCGGUGUUGGCCAAGUAAUUGUUUCACACCUUUACUUUCUCAAACAUUCUCAACUCUCACGUAAUACAUGAGUGUGAGCCAUGGUUAUAGCACUAUAGAUGGUGUGAAAUGUGGUGGAGGUUGCAAGACAAAAAGGAGAAGAUAGUCACAUUAACUAGGCAUAUCAAUGAGCUGUGGAGAUGCUCAUCAAUAGAUAUCAAUGUGAAUGAGUAGGGAUUGCCAUACAAAUGAUGCACUAGAGCUACAAGUAUGUGAAAGCUCUUAAAGAAAACUAGUGGGUGUGCAUCCAACUUGCUUGCUCACGAAGACCUAAGGCAAUUUUGAGGAAGCUUAUCAUUGAAAUAUACAAGCCAAGUUAUAUAAUGAGAAUUUCCCACUAGCUAUAUGAUGGUGAAAAAACGAGAGACUCUCAAUCAUGAAGAUUAUGGUGCGCAAUAUGCACAAGUGUGGAAAAAGUGGUAGCAUUGUCCCUUCUCUCUUUUUCUCUCAAUUUUUUUUUAUUUUGGUGGGCUCUUUGGCCUCUUUUUUAUGGGCUUCUUUGGCCUCUUUUAUUUCCUCACAUGGGACAAUGCUCCAAUAAUGAUGAUCAUCACACUUUCAACUCAAAACUUAGAGCAAUUAUGACUCUAUAUGGAAUGCCUUCGGUAGUGUACCGUGGCAAUGAUCUAGCAUGGCAUAGACAUCAAUGGAAACAUCAUGCUAGCUAUCUUACGAUCGUGCAAACGCAAUGUAUACGUGGUGGCACAUGUCAUGGUGCUAGUUGCAUGGCAAUAUAUCUUGGAAUGACUUUGCAAAAGCCAUAGUAGGUAGGUAUGGUGGCUGUUUUGAGGGAGGCUAAUGGUGGGUUUUGUGCACUGGCGAAAGUUGCGCGGCACUAAGAAGAUAGUGAUGGUGGAAGGUGAAAGUGCAUCUAAACCAUGGACUCAUCAUUAGUCAUGAAGAACUCAUAUACUUGUUGCAAAAGUUUUAUUAGUAAUCGAAACAAGGCAUUCAACGCAUACUCCUAGGGGAAGGGUUGGUAGGUAUAAUACCAUCGCGCGAUCCCGACCGCCACGCAAAGGAUGACAAUCAAAAGACUAAUCAUGCUCAGACUUCAUCACAUAGCGGUUCACCAUACGUGCAUGCUACGGGAAUCACUAACUUCAACACAAUUAUUUCUAGAUCCACAACACCUUACUAGCAUGACUUCAAUAUUACCAAAACCACAACUCAAAACUAAUUGAGAUGAAUCAAACUUCUCUAACUAUUCAAUGCACAUGAAGGUGGAAGUUUUCGUAUCCCUUUGGAUAUCUACCCCUUUUGAGACUACUUUCAAAGCAUAGAUCAACUACCAAGACACGCACCUCUGCGCUCUAAAAGAUAUAAGUGAAGCACAUAGAGCAAAAGUAUCUAGCUCAAAAGAUAUAAGUGAAGCACAUGUGAGCUGAAUUGUCUACCAAAAGAUAUAAGUGAAGCUCGACAAAAUCACGGUGAGUGCAUGUCUCUCUCUCUAGGUGUGCAGCAAGGAUGAUUGUGACACAACAAAAAUAAAAGACUCCUACGAUACAAGACUCCCCAAGCAAAAACACAUAACAUGUGGUGAAUAAAAAUAUAGCCCCAAGUAACGUUACCGAUGGAUUGAAGACGAGAGAGGGGAUGCCUUCCCGGGGCAUCCCCAAGCUUAGGCUUUUACGUCAUCCUUGAAUCUCUUGGGGUGCCUUGGGCAUCCCCAAGCUUGAGAUCUUGCCACUCUUUAUCUCUUUGUCCAUAAGAACUUCACCCAAAACUUGAAAACUUCACAACACGAAACUUAAACAGAAACUCGUGAUAACAUUAGUACAAAAAAGCAAACCACCACUUCCUUAGGUACUGUAGCAAACUUAACUUCUACUUGUGCUGAUGUUGGGUUACUGUACUUUCAAUUUUCCAUGGCUAAUAUCCCCCGAUACUAUCCAUAGUUUCAUCAAAAUAAGCAACCAACACAACAAAAACAGAAUCUGUUAACAGCAGACCAGUCUGUAGAAAUCUGUAUGUUUCAUAUAGCUCUGGUACUUCCAAAAUUCUGAAAACUUAAGACAGUCUGAAGAAUUUGCGUAGAAAUCAGCAGAAAAAAGAAUCAACUCAAAAGCUCUUACAUAAAAAAAAUAUAAAUUCUUUUCGUGAGCAGAAAGUUUCUGUCUUUUCCAGCACGACCAAACGAUCAUCCUCAAGACUAAUCAUAACGGUUUUGCUUGGCACAAACGCAAAAAGAAACACAAAAAACAUAUUCAUAACAUAAUCAUGAAAGUGUGGAAAACACAAAACAGAAAGAAAAAAGGAUAGAUUCGUUGGGUUGCCUCCCAACAAGCGCUUUUGUUUAACGCCCUUAGCUAGGCGAAAGUGAUGGAAUCACGUAUAGUCAUCUUUGGUACUCAAACCAUAAGUAGCCCUCAUCAUAGAUUCACAAGGCAAUCUUAUUUUCUUUCUAGGAAUGUGCUCCAUGCCCUUCUUUAAGGGAAAUUGAAAUCUAAUAUUCCCUUCCUUCAUAUCGAUGAUAGCACCAAUAGUCCUUAGGAAAGGUCUACCAAGAAUAAUGGGACAUGAAGGAUUGCAAUCUAUGUCAAGUACAAAGAAAUACACGGAUACAUAGUUCUUAUUUGCAACAAUAAGAACAUCAUCGAUCCUCCCCAUGGGCUUCUUGUUGGUAGAAUCCGCAAGAUGCAAAUUAAGAGAACACUCUUCAAUCUCAUGGAAACCAAGAAUAUCACAUAAAGACUUUGGAAUCGCGGAAACACUAGCACCCAAAUCACACAAAGCAUUGCACUCAUAGUUUUUUAUCUUGAUUUUGAUAGUAGGUUCCCACUCAUUUUGAAGUUUUCUAGGUAUAGAGACUUCUAGUUCGAGCUUCUCUUCAAGAGAUUUCAUCAUAGCAUCUACGAUAGAAAUGCAUUCAAACAAGGAGCAAUUAUCAUAAUUGAAUUCCUUGAAAUCCAAAGUGGGAGUUUCAUUACUACCCAAAAUUUUGACUUCUUCUACUCCACUCUCCACACCUUUAUCAUCAAGAUAGGUGGACUCCGAAUCAUCGGGGCGUUUUUCAACCAAAGUGGAUUCAUAUCCAGCCCCUCCAUAAGUAGGUUUGACAUGCGAAAACAAAGAUUCAAGAGGAGACAUACCAACCACUUUAAGAUCUUCGUGAUUUGCAUCACUAGAAUGCACCCUUUUAAACAUUCAUGUCUAGCGUGAAUUUGGACGGUUCUUUCUUUGCUCUCAUUCAUGGAGAUACGCAUAGCUUUAAAAGUUUUAUCCAAGUUGAUCUUGGGAGGAGCGCAUCUAACUUUCAAAGAAUCAAUAUCACAAGACAUCCUAUCAACGCACUUAGCCAAAUCGUCUAUUUUGAGUAGUUUUUCCUCUAUGGACGCAUUGAAAAUCUUUUGAGAGUUGAUGAACUCUUUGAUAUUACUCUCUAGAUCAGAGGGUAAUUUUUUAUGAUUUCCAUAAGUGUUGCCGUAGGAAUUGCCAUAAUUGUUAGAGGAGUUACUAGGAAAAGGCCUAGGAACAUAGUUUCCUCUAAAAGCAUUAUUGUUGCCAAAAUUGUUCCUACCAACAAAAUUCAUGUCCAAACUAGCAUUGCUACUCUCAAUCAAAGAAGAUAGUGGCAUGUCAUUAGGAUCUACGGUAGUAUUUCUACUAGCAACCAAAUUCAUCAACUCGUCCAUCUUAGCACUAAGCGAGUUAAUCUCUUCUAUAGCGUGCACCUUUUUGCUAGCAGACGACCUUUCAGUGUGCCACUGAGAGUAGUUGGUCAUGAUAUUGUCUAGGAGUUUUGUAGCGUCUCCUAACGUGAUUUACAUGAAUGUUCCACCUGAGGCGGAGUCCAAGAUAUUGCGAGAAGCGAAAUUCAAGCCAGCGUAAAAGAUUUGUAUAAUCAUCCACAAACUCAAGCCAUGAGCAGGACAAUUUCUAAUCAUAAGCUUCAUCCUCUCCCAAGAUUGUGCAACGUGUUCAUGAUCAAGUUGCUUGAAAUUCAUGAUAUCGUUAUGUAAGGAGAUGAACUUAGCCGGCGGAAAAUACUUAGAUAUGUAAGUAUCUUUGUGUUGGGUAACGUCGCAUGGGAAACAAAAAUUUUCCUACGCGCACGCCUAUCAUGGUGAUGUCCAUCUACGAGAGGGGAUGUGUGAUCUACGUACCCUUGUAGACCGUACAGCAGAAGCGUUAGUGAACGCGGUUGAUGUAGUGGAACGUCCUCACGUCCCUUGAUCCGCCCCGCGAACCGUCCCGCGAUCAGUCCCACGAUCUAAUGUCGAACGGACGGCACCUCCGCGUUCAGCACACGUACAACUCGACGAUGAUCUCGGCCUUCUUGAUCCAGCAAGAGAGACGGAGAGGUAGAAGAGUUCUCCGGCAGCAUGACGGCGCUCCGGAGGUUGGUGAUGAUAUCGUCUCGGCAGGGCUCCACCCGAGCUCCGCAGAAACGCGACCUAGAGGUAAAACCGUGGAGAUAUGUGGUCGGGCUACCGUGGCAAAGUUGUCUCAAAUCAGCCCUAAAACCUCCGUAUAUAUAGGGGGAGGAGGGGGAGCCUUGCCUUGGGGUCCAAGGACUCCCAAGGGGGUCGGCCGAGCCUAAGGGGGGAACCCUCCCCUUCCAAACCGAGUCCAACUAGGUUUGGAAGGAGGAGUCCUUCCCCCUUUCCCACCUCCUCUUUUUUUUCUCUUUGAUUUUCUUCCUAUGGCGCAUAGGGCCUUCUUGGGCUGUCCCACCAGCCCACUAAGGGCUGGUGCGCCACCCCCAAGGCCUAUGGGCUUCCCCGGGGUGGGUUGCCCCCCCCGGUGAACUCCCGGAACCCAUUCGUCAUUCCCCGUACAUUCCCGGUAACUCCGAAAACCUUACGGUAAUCAAAUGAGGUCAUCCUAUAUAUCAAUCUUCGUUUCCGGACCAUUCCAAAAACCCUCGUGACGUCCGUGAUCUCAUCCGGGACUCCGAACAACAUUCGGUAACCAACCAUAUAACUCAAAUACGCAUAAAACAACGUCGAACCUUAAGUGUGCAGACCCUGCGGGUUCGAGAACUAUGUAGACAUGACCCGAGAGACUCCUCGGUCAAUAUCCAAUAGCGGGACCUGGAUGCCCAUAUUGGAUCCUACAUAUUCUACGAAGAUCUUAUCGUUUGAACCUCAGUGCCAAGGAUUCAUAUAAUCCCGUAUGUCAUUCCCUUUGUCCUUCGGUAUGUUACUUGCCCGAGAUUCGAUCGUCAGUAUCCGUAUACCUAUUUCAAUCUCGUUUACCCGCAAGUCCCUUUACUCAUUCCGUAAUACAAGAUCCCGCAACUUACAUUAAGUCACAUUGCUUGCAAGGCUUGUGUGUGAUGUUGUAUUACCGAGUGGGCCCCGAGAUACCUCUCCGUCACACGGAGUGACAAAUCCCAGUCUCAAUCCAUACUAACUCAACGAACACCUUCGGAGAUACCUGUAGAGCAUCUUUAUAGUCACCCAGUUAUGUUGCGACGUUUGAUACACACAAAGUAUUCCUCCGGUGUCAGUGAGUUAUAUGAUCUCAUGGUCAUAGGAACAAAUACUUGACACGCAGAAAACAGUAGCAACAAAAUGACACGAUCAACAUGCUACGUCUAUUAGUUUGGGUCUAGUCCAUCACGUGUUUCUCCUAAUGACGUGAUCCAGUUAUCAAGCAACAACACCUUGUUCAUAAUCAGAAGACACUGACUAUCUUUGAUCAACUGGCUAGCCAACUAGAGGCUUGCUAGGGACAGUGUUUUGUCUAUGUAUCCACACAUGUAUUUAUGUCUUCAUUCAAUACAAUUAUAGCAUGGAUAAUAAACGAUUAUCUUGAUAUAGGAAUUAUAAUAAUAACUAUAUUUAUUAUUGCAUCUAGGGCAUAAUUCCAACACUUUGCACCUAUCCCAAGAAUCGAUACUAUUUUUAGGCAAAGAAGAAAACCAAGUUUUUGCGCGAUCUCGCAACGAGAAAGGAAAAAGUUUUAACUUAAUCACGUCAUUAUCCACAUCUCUUUUCUUUUGCAUAUCACAAAGCUCAAUGAAGGUAUUGAGAUGGGAUGCGACAUCUUCACUAGGAAGGCCAGAGAAUUGCUCUUUCAUAACAAGAUUCAGCAAAGCUGUGUUGAUUUCAUACGAUGCCACACUAGUGGCGGGAGCAAUCGGAGUACUAAUAAAAUCAUUAUUAUUAGUGCUCGAGAAGUCACAAAGUUUGGUAUUUUCAGACAUGAUGUCUUCAACAAACAAACAAGCACACAAGCAAGCAAGAAACCGGAAAAGGAAAACGGCAAGGGCAAGAGAAAACGGCGAAGGAGAAAGGCGAAUGAAAACAACAAAUGUGAAGUGGGGGAGAGGAAAACGAGAGGCAACUCGCAACAAAAGUAAAUGCAAGAGAAGAGUUUGUGAGACCUACUUGGAUAGAUCUUGAUUUCUCCUCCCCGGCAACGGCGCUAGAAAUACUUCUUGAUGUUUGCUGUGUAUCCCCGGCAACGGCGCCAGAAAUGCUUCUGAACUCCAUUGUGCUACUGCACAAAAGACCUUCUGGUGGCGCCAGAAAUGGGCACGUUCACGGCACUAGGAAUUCUUUUGCGUUGGUGUUCCCUCGAAGCGGAAAGGGUGAUGUAGCACAGCGACGGUAAGUAUUUCCCCCAGUUUGAGAACCAAGGUAUCAAUCCGGCGGAAGAGUAUCUCAAGAUCCUGCACAAACACAAAAGCUUGCACCCAGCGCUAUGAAGGGGUUGUCAAUCCCUUAUAGAUUGUUUGCCAAGUGAGAACUGAAAGCAACAAAGUAACACAACAAAGUAAAAGUGGGGUUGUAAACGAUGGAUGUGAAUAGACCCGGGGGCAUAGUAUUUACUAGUGGCUUCUCUCAUGAAAGCAAGUAGACGGAGGGUGAACAAAUUACUGUCGAGCAAUUGAUAAAACUGUGCAGAGUCGUGACGAUAUCUAUGCAAUGAUUAUUUCUAUAGGCAUCACGUCCGAAACAAGUAGACCGAUACUUUCUGCAUCUACUACUAUUACUCCACACGUCGACCGCUAUCCAGCAUGCAUAGUGUAUUAAGUCCAUAAGAACAGAGUAACGCCUUAAGCAAGAUGACAUGAUGUAGAGGGAUAAUCUCAAACCAAUGAUAAAAACCCCAUCUUUUUACCCUUGAUGGCAACUCCUUGAUGUGUGCCUUGCUACCCCUACUGUCACUGGGAAAGGUCACCACAUGGCAGAACCCAAAACCAAGCACUUCUCCCAUUGCAAGAAUCAUAGAUCUAGUUAGCCAAACAAAACCCAAGACUCGGAGAGACUUACAAGGAUAUCAAAUCAGGCAUAUAAGAAAUCAACAAAGACUCAAAUAUAUAUCAUAGAUAAUCUGAUCACAAGUCCACAAUUCAUCGGAUCUCGACAAACACACCGCCAAAGAAUAUUACAUCGGAUAGAUCUCCAUGAAGAUCAUGGAGAACUAUGUAUUGAAGAUCCAAGAGAGAGAGGAAGCUAUCUAGAUACUAACUACAGACCCGUAGGUCUGAAGUGAACUACUCACAAGUCAUUGGAGGGGCGAUGAUGAUGAUGAUGAAGCCCUCCAACUCCAAAGUCCUCUCCGGAGGGUGCCGGGAAGGGUCUCCAGAUGAGAUCUCGCGAAAACGGAAGCUUGCGGCGACGGAAAAAGUAUUUUCGAGGCUCCCCUGAUUUUUUGCGGAAUAUUUGGGAAUUUAUAGGCCAAAGAUCUAGGUCAGGGGCGGCCAGGGAGGCCACAAGCCUGCCCACGGCCGCCUCCCCCCUGGUGGCGGAGUGGGCGCUUGUGGGCUCCCUGGAGCCCACCUGGCUUGGCCCAAAAGCCCCCUGGACUUCUUCCGUUUGGGAUAAAAUCAUUUUGGGGUUUUUCUUCCGUUUGGACUCUGUUCCAAAAUCAGAUCUGAAAAGAGUCAAAAACAUGGAAAAAAUAGUAACUGGCACUUGGCACUGAAUUAAUAAGUUAGUCCCAAAAAGAUAUAAAAAGGUAUAUAAAACAUACAAAGAAGGCAAGACAACAGCGUGAAAUCAUCAAAAAUUAUAGAUACGUUUGAGAUGUAUCAGGGGCCGGCCGGCUUACCGGAGCGGGAGAGGGGAAGGGGGCUUACCGCAGGAGGGGAGGGGGGCGGCGGCGACGACGACGACGACGGCGAGGGAGGCGGCGACGACGACGACAACGGCGAGGGAGGCGGCGGCGGGGAGGAGCACGGAGACGGAGACGGCGACGGCGUCGGGGAAGAGUCGGCGUCGAGGGUUCGUCCGCGUCGCGCGCGAGAGGAGGAAGAAGAUGGAAACCGCGAUUUGGACAUCACAAAUUUCUAACUACCGCCUAUAUAGGCGGACCUUUGGUCCCGGGCAUGGCUCAAACCUCGACUAAAGACCAUCUUUAGUCCCGGGCCGAGCCACGACCCAGGUCUAAAGACCCCUUUUCAGCAGGCGGAGUGGCGGGAAAUGAGGGUCUUUAGUCCCGGGUCGUGCCUCGACCCGGAACUAAAGGUGGUCUUUAGUCCCGGUUCGAGCCACGACCCGGGACUAAAGACCUUUGGCUAGCGGCAUUUCAAAGUUUAGUCCCACCUCGCUUGUCGAGAGGAGCCGCGACUGGUUUAUAAGCCCCGCUACGCCAACUUUGUCGAGCUCCUCUCUAAAGAAGGCUUACGGGCCUAAACGCACUGUAAAUUUAAAAAUUGAAAAUAUAUGUGAAAUUAAAGACAAAGUUUAACCUAAAUUCAAAGUGACCUAAAUUCUUUAUGUCACUUUCAAUUUAGGUUGAAUUUUCUCUAUAAAUUAUCAUCCAUUAUUUUUGUUUUGUUCUUGACUUUAUUUAUUUUGUUUUUUCUACUUACACCUAAAUAUUUAGUUUCUAUUAAACGUUUUAACCAAAAAAACUUUAUGAAAAUUCUUUUGAGUUGAUUUUUUUUUCUUUUUAGUUAAUAUUUUACUUGAUUUUUUUUAACAAAUAUGCACUUUGAUAAUUUUAGUUGAUUAUUUUUAAUUCAUUCAUUUUAGUUAAUGUUUUAUUUGAUUCUUUUUAGUUGACUUUUUUUUAUUUUCUAUUAAAAAAAAUUCAUAAAUUUUCAACAAUUUCUGACUUCAUUUGCUAUUUUUCGUGCAUUUACUUUUUUUUGAGCUAGUUGACCCUGAAAUUGAAAAGCACUACAAAUGAACUCUGAAAAUGGUGAAAGUUGGCAUGGUAUCAUCAUUUGACCCACAUAGCAAGUGCUAAAAACUUGAGAGGGUUACGACAAAAACUGGAUGCAUUUCGUGUACAAAACGAACAACAUCUCUCGAAAUAUCAUGRUUUCGAACGUAGAACUCAUCUGUUACAUCAGGNCUAAAGGUGGUCUUUAGUCCCGGUUCGAGCCACGACCCGGGACUAAAGACCUUUGGCUAGCGGCAUUUCAAAGUUUAGUCCCACCUCGCUUGUCGAGAGGAGCCGCGACUGGUUUAUAAGCCCCGCUACGCCAACUUUGUCGAGCUCCUCUCUAAAGAAGGCUUACGGGCCUAAACGCACUGUAAAUUUAAAAAUUGAAAAUAUAUGUGAAAUUAAAGACAAAGUUUAACCUAAAUUCAAAGUGACCUAAAUUCUUUAUGUCACUUUCAAUUUAGGUUGAAUUUUCUCUAUAAAUUAUCAUCCAUUAUUUUUGUUUUGUUCUUGACUUUAUUUAUUUUGUUUUUUCUACUUACACCUAAAUAUUUAGUUUCUAUUAAACGUUUUAACCAAAAAAACUUUAUGAAAAUUCUUUUGAGUUGAUUUUUUUUUCUUUUUAGUUAAUAUUUUACUUGAUUUUUUUUAACAAAUAUGCACUUUGAUAAUUUUAGUUGAUUAUUUUUAAUUCAUUCAUUUUAGUUAAUGUUUUAUUUGAUUCUUUUUAGUUGACUUUUUUUUAUUUUCUAUUAAAAAAAUUCAUAAAUUUUCAACAAUUUCUGACUUCAUUUGCUAUUUUUCGUGCAUUUACUUUUUUUUUGAGCUAGUUGACCCUGAAAUUGAAAAGCACUACAAAUGAACUCUGAAAAUGUUAAAAGUUACCAUGGUAUCAUCAUUUCACCCACAUAGCAUGUGCUAGAAAGUUAAGAGAAUUAUGACAAAACUAGAUGCAUUCCGUGUACAAAACGGACAAUAUCUCUCAAAGUAUCAGGAUUUCGAACGAGAACUCAUCUGUUACAUCAGGAUUUAUUUUUUUGAACUUAUUUGCACUCCAUACUUUUUGUGUGUUGAAAAUACACCAUUCAAAGACACAUCAUAAAUUCUCAAUAAUUUCUGACUUCAUUUGCUACUUUUCGUGCAUUUACUUAUUUUUUUAGCUAGUUGACGCUGAAAUUAAAAAACACUACAAAUUAACUCUGAAAAUGUUCAAAAUUGGAAUGUUAUCAUCAUUUCACCCACAUAGCAUGUGCUAAAAAUUUGAGAGGGUUACGACAAAAACUGGAUGCACUUCGUGUACAAAACGGACAAUCUCUCUCGAAGUAUGAGAGUUUCGAACAAGAACUCAUCUGUUACAUAGGGAUUUCAUUUUUUUGAACUUAUUUGAACUCCAUACUUUUUGUGUGUUGAAAAUGCACCAUUCAAAGGCACAUCAUAUAUUUUCAAAAAUUUCUGACUUCAUUUGGUAUUUUUCGUACAUUUACUUAUUUAUUUUUUUGAGCUAGUUGACCCUGAAAUUCAAAAGCACUACAAAUGAAUUUUGAAAAUGUUGAAAGUUGGCAUGGUAUAAUCAUUUCACCCACAUAGCAUGUGCUAAAAAGGUGAGAGGGUUACGACUAAAACUGGAUGCACUUCGUGUACAAAACGGACAAUCUCUCUCGAAGUAUGAGGGUUUCGAACGAGAACUCAUCUGUUACAAAGGGAUUUCAUUUUUUUGAACUUAUUUGAACUCCGUACUUUUUGUGUGUUGAAAAUGCACCAUUCAAAGGCACAUCAUAAAUUUUCAACAAUUUCUGACUUCAUUUGCUAUUUUUCGUAGAUUUACUUUUUUUGAGCUAGUUGACCCUGAAAUUGAAAAGCACUACAAAUGAACUCUGAAAACGUUCAAAGUUGGCAUGGUAUCAUCAUUUCACCCACGUAUAAUGUGCUAAAAUUUUGAGAGGCUUACGAAAAAAACUGAAUGCACUUCCUGUAAAAACGGACAAUCUCUCUCAAAGUAUCAGGGUUUCGAACGAGAACUAUCUGUUACAAAGGGAUUUGAUUCUUUUGAACUUAUUUGAACUCCAUACUUUUUGUGUGUUGAAAAUGCACCAUUCAAAGCCACAUCACAGUAUUUUCAAAAAAUUCUAACUUCGUUUGGUAUUUUUCGUGCAUUUACUUAUUUGUUUUGAGCUAGUUGACCCUGAAAUUGAAAAGCACUACAAAUGAACUCUGAAAAUGGUGAAAGUUGGCAUGGUAUCAUCAUUUGACCCACAUAGCAAGUGCUAAAAACUUGAGAGGGUUACGACAAAAACUGGAUGCAUUUCGUGUACAAAACGAACAACAUCUCUCGAAAUAUCAUGGUUUCGAACGAGAACUCAUCUGUUACAAAGGGAUUUCAUUUUUUUGAACUUAUUUAAACUCCAUACUUUUUGUGUGUUGAAGAUUUACCAUCUAAAGGGACAUCACAAUUUUUGAACAAUUUCUAACUUCAUUUGGUAUUUUUCGUGUAUUUACUUAUUGUUUUGGAGCUAGUUGUCCGUGAAAUUGAAAAGCACUACAAAUGAACUCUGAAAAUGUUGAAAGUUGGCAUGAUAUAAUCAUUUCAACCACAUAGCAUGUGCUAGAAAGUUAAGAGGCUUACGACAAAAACUGGAUGCACUUCGUGUACAAAACGGACAAUCUCUUUCGAAGUAUCACGGUUUCGAACGAGAACUCAUCUCGUUACAAAGGGAUUUCAUUUUUUUGAACUUAUUUGAACUCCAUACUUUUUGUGUGUUGAAAAUGCACCAUUCAAAGGCACAUCACAAAUUUUCAACAAUUUCUGACUUCAUUUGGUAUUUUUCGUGCAUUUACUUAUUUGUUUUUGAGCUUGUUGACCCUGAAAUUGAAAAGCACAACAAAUGAACUCUAAAAAUAUUGAAAGUUGGCAUGGUAUCAUCAUUUCACCCACAUAACAUGUGCUAAAAACUUGAGAGGUUACGACAAAAACUGGAUGCACUUCGUGUACAAAACGGACAAUCUCUCUCGAAGUAUCACGGACUAAAAAGUUGAGAAGCGACCCCCACAACAACAGUCGGCAUUCUUCUUAUCUCAUAUAUGGUGGACACUCCCUCACUGAUUUUUCGACCGUCGAUGAUGGUCGCUAUUCCUUCUUCCCCUAGUGCAUAACAAAUAUCUAGCGCAAGGAGAAGAAGGCAAAGCAACCCCACAACAACAGUUGGCAUUCUUAUUCUCCCAAAUAUGGUGGACACUCCCUCACCUGAUUUUUCCACCGUCGAUGAUGGCCGCUACUCCUUCUUCCCCUAGUGCAUAACAAAUAUCUAGCCCAAGGAGAAGAAGGAGAAGCGACCCCCACAACAACAAUCGGCAUUCUUCUUCUCUCAUAUAUGGUGGACACUCCCUCACCUGAUUUUUCGACCGUCCAUGAUGGUCGCUACUCCUUCUUCACCUAGUGCAUAACAAAUAUCUAGCACAAGGAGAAGAAGGAAAAGCGACCCCCACAACAACAGUCGACAUUCUUCUUCUCUCAUAUAUGGUGGACACUUCCUCACCUGAUUUUUCGACCGUCGAUGAUGGUUGCUACUCCUUCUUCCCCUAGUGCAUAAAAAAUAUCUAGCACAAGGAGAAGAAGGAGAAGCGACCCCCACAACAACAGUCGGCAUUUUUCUUCUCUCAUAUAUGGUGGACACUCCCUCACCUGAUUUUUCGACCGUCGAUGAUGGUCGCUAUUCCUUCUUCCCCUAGUGCAUAACAAAUAUCUAGAACAACGAGAAGAAGGAAAAGCGACCCCCACAACAACAGUCGAUAUUCUUCUUCUCUCAUAUAUGGUGGACACUCCCUCACCUGAUUUUUCGAUCAUCGAUGAUGGUUGCUACUCCUUCUUCCCCUAGUGCAUAAAAAAUAUCUAGCACAAGGAGAAGAAGGAGAAGCGACCCUCACAACAACAGUCGGCAUUCUUCUUCUCUCAUAUAUGGUGGGUCGGGCAUUUCAUCGAACAUCUUAUGUGCAUGAACUAGAGUGGCAAGAGCAUGGCAUGCAUGGUCACACCUCACUUGGUACUAGACAGGGAAGGGUACCCAUAUUUAAUUUGUGGUUCUGCUGGUGCUUCGGUGGUUGAAAACACACUCUAGAAUUUAUUAGUCAAAUCAAUUUAGUUAGUACGAUAUAUAGUACAAUGUAUAUUUACCAUUUCGGAUUCAAAUUAGGUCUUCAACUAUGGGAGCAACUAGUUACACGGUACUGUUUGAAACCACCACUAGAGGAGGUGCUCUUCACCAUUAAACACAGGUGUGCUCCCUCUAUGGUAAAGCACUUGCAACAAAAUGAGGAGAGAGGUGAAGCACAUAUGUGAUUCAAAGUCGGAGGACAAGUGUGAUUUAUCGCAGACUAUGUGUGUGCUUCAUCGCGAAGCGUAGGUGUACUCGAGCGGGUGGAGCAUGGGUGUGUCCCAAAAAAAGAAGAUAACACACAUAUCUGCUCCGGGGUGCUUCGUCGUGGAUCACAUAUGUGCCUCACCGCGAAGAGUAGGUGUGCUCCUUUUUUUUGGAGCAUGGGUGCGCUUCCCAGUGAAGUACAAUUGUACUUUCUGAUGGAGCACACAUGUACUCCCAACGGUGUAGCAUGUACAAACCCGAAAAUAAUAGGUAAAGAGCAACCUGAUCUCCUCUCUUUCCAUCAUGUGUCGAACGCAGAGCGCACCGAAGAUCAAUCUCGACGCAUGAAAUUAAUUGUGCCACUUGUCACACAAGGAAGCGACAUGGGUGACCCUUGCAAGGGGUGCCCCUUAGCUAGUGAUUUUGACAACUCUAGAGAAAAAAUGAAUUCAUGUUAUGAAACGUAGUUAUUGUUGGACCACAAAUAUUUUGGGCCAACAAUAUGAUAAGUUUUUGUUUCUAAGUAGUGUUUCCAAAAAUUUCAGUUUUUUUGCGACAUGUUAUGUCUACGUGCUAUUUUUUUAGAGUUAUUAACAAGGUUCACGGGUUGCUCUCAAUUAUCGUCGCACCGGAUACUACUGCCGAGGGGGGGGGGGAGCUAUGGCUAUAACCCUAGGCCUGGUACCAACAUUCCUUGCAAUUCCUUUCUACAAUACAAAGCACUGAAAAAUUCGAGAGUUCAUCAUUCAAGCUAGCUCAACCCGUGUUAUGGUCUAUCCUUUCCUAAGAUAGUUUGUAGUCAUAAGUAUUUUUGGGAAUAUCCAACAAUAACAACAACAAAGUCUUUAGUUCCAAGAAAAUUGGGAUAGGCUAAAGGUGAAAUCCAUCAGAUCUCACGAUCAACUUAUUGUUGUAGCACAUGGAUAGCAAGCUUCCACACCUCUGUUCAUGGCUAGUUCUUUAGAUUUUUGGGAAUAUCCGUGGUCAUAAAUUAAUUAUGUGCGAGGAGCCAAAGGAAAAAAAGAUGAACUGGUAUAGGGAUACUUCUGGCAAUCUCUUGUACUUCCUUGGUUCCUAAAUAUAAGUAUUUUUAGAGAUUUCAUUAGGAGACUACAUAUAGAACAAAAUUAGUGAAUCUACUCUUUAAAGUGUGUUCAUAUACAUUUGUAUGUAGUCUUCUAGUGAAACCUCUAAAAAGAUUUAUAUUUAGGAAUGGAGGAAGUACCUGGAACCAAUAUUCCAUCAGCCACUCAUCAGAGUUCCCCCUAAAGAAAACCAUGCUUUAUUUUUUGAAAAAUAUAGAAAUUGGCUUCGGACAAAGUUGGACCUUUUUUCUUAAACGUCGUCUUCCUACUGGAAGAAUAAUCUGUAUUAAUAAGACAUUAAAACGUCAAACGUAAGAUUUGAUCGGUUGGAGAUACCAGUCCUUUUAACCUAAUAAGGGCUCCUUUGAUUCACAGGGUUGGGGAAGCAUAGGAAUAGGAAACAUUCGAGAAUAGGAUGCACUGCCCACUGAAAUCCUACGUCCGGUAAGCAAAACAAAGGAAAUUUUUCAUGAAGUCCAACCUCAUGCUUGUUUUUCUGUGAAAAUGAACUAAGAAGUUUCUAUAGGAUUGGUCCCUGAGAAAUGCAAUCCUGCGAAUCAAACAACAUGUAGAGGAGAAAUUCUAAAUGAUGCAAGUCCUGUAAAAAAACCUAUGCAAAUUCUGUGAAUCAAAGGAGGCCUAAGUUUUGAAUGGAGGGAGUACAAGACAUCCGGAUGGCUAUUAUUUUUCUGAGCUCUAAUUCGCGAAAAGAAAGAGGGCACGCACAUGAUGGAUGCACAAAAGUAAAUUAACUAGUCAGACGCGUACAUGGUACAUGCCACAUCUGGUGCUUUCCUCCCGCUUUCUUGGAGUGGAAAUUCCAAAGCAGACGAUCGAGUUAGCUAGUGAGCUUGGAUUCUGUGUCAUCGUCUAGUCUUGACUGCUGGCAGCCUCUCUUAGUCUUGAUCACUACCUGCAGCCUGCCAAUAAACAUAUGCAUUUUGUUCUUCUCGUGACUCGCUCAGCCAAUCAUAUCCAUAUGAUUAAGAUGACUCUCUUCUUUCCGCGUGAAAACUGAAAACCAAUCGUGUCCAAAGGAUGAUUACCGUUGACGGUUUACAACAACAACAACAACAACACAUGUUACAUACCCCGCUGCCAAUCAGAAAGAAAGAAGUAAAACCGGCCAGCCAAGCAGGAGUUUUUCCAAAGUGACUACUGUUCGGUGCAUGAAUAUAUUGCUACCUUUUUCUACUUUUGACUAUCCAAUCCAAUCGGUCUAUCCAAUCCAAUCGAAUCCACUCUCCUCAAACACAAAGGGAGCGACUGUUCUUCAGUUUUAUGUUGUACGACGCUAAUUAAGCACUUGAUUAUGGAGAAGCGUUAGUUCGGUCAGAGCAACACGAGAACUACUGGUGCAUACGUGGAGUCAACACACAUGCAUAUAUACGCAUGAAUAGUGCAGCCUGCUGCUGCUGCUGCAGGUCAGAAGUCUGAAAAGAAGAUUAACCAUUUCAAGAACGUGUGACAGACCUGCUUUUUAAUCUACACGAGUGCCCACCCAAUCUUCUUUGUCAAGCAAAGACCCGUUUGUGAGGCGAUACGACCAACCGUUUAGGCAACUCCAAUACAUGACCUUAAAUAAACGUCCGUUUAAUUUGGAUUCAGUCUGUUUGAGGUGAAAAAACAAACGCUCAUGUCCGGGACCGGCUAGCCUAGUGUCAAGGCGCCCAACGCACGGCCCCAACUUCAACUUAUUCGUGGUGGACAUAGAUAAAAAGAAUAUAAAAAAUGCAUGUAAAAACUAAAACAAGGCAUUACAUAAUAGCUAAAAACAUAAAACAACUUAUUUAAAAGUCCACCGUCCUCACGGCCCAACCAUUGUACUUAGUUUUAAUUAAAAUAAAAAGAUAAUGUGGCCUGCCCGUGCACGGCAGAAGCCCUAGUCGUCGACGUCGAUGUCGUUGCAGUCGCCGUCCUCAAGCGCCAUCAUCGUCGCUCGUCAGGUCGAUGUAGGGUGAGAGCGACCAAAGGUGCGGCGGUGGCCUCAGAUUGGGUCAGGCGUGUGUUGUGCAGGCGGCAGUGUUGGGGAUGGUGACCACGGAACCCAUGCACGCUCCUCUGUGGGCUCCUCCUUCACCUCUUGCUUGACAUCCAGCUUCGGGACGCACACGUCCCCGAGGCCGACAGCUCCAACAUCUCCUAUAGGCCCUUCCAUUCCUCCUCCUCCUGGCGCAUGUACUCCCUCUCGGAGUCCUCCAUGACGGCCUGCAGGAGCCGCUCCUCCUCAUUGGCGUCAUGGCAGGACACUAGUAGGGAAAAGCCUUGUAGUAGCGCGGGUGCCAGCGCUACUACUAGGGCGCUGCAGCUAACUUGUAGUAAUAGGGAAGGCGCCAUCCGCUACUGCUAACUAUAUGUAGCGUGUGUCCGUUACCCGCGUUGCUACUAUUAAUUUCAAAAACCAAAAAAAAUCUCGAUCUUGUGCGUGUUGUCUAUGGUGUGAAUGGUUCGAUAUAGUGAUGAUAGCGCUCAGCGGAGGCGCGAACGGGUAGCGGUAGACCAGAUUCGGCAACGGUUGUUGGAGAGGUACCAGAUCCAGGGUAGAGCCACUAGUAGAAAUAAGGGCUUUCGUCCCAGCUCGAAAAACACAUUAGUUCCGGUUCCUUUACGAACCGGGACUAAAGGGUUUGGAGGCUUUAGGUACCAGAUCCAGAGCGGCAAAGGCGCCGGUCGGGCAUUAGUCCCGGUUCGUGUCUCGAACCCGGACUAAAGGGUUUGGAGGCUUUAGUCCCGGUUCGUGACACGAACCGGGACUAAAGGUGUUCAGAUUAUUUUUUUCUGUUUUUUAAAUUUUUGUUUGUAGUUUCUGUUUUAAAUUGUUUAUAUCUUUUAGGAUAUUUGAUGUUUUCGAUUGAUCCUUUUUGCAUUACAUUCAAAAUUUUGUCUAGUUUCUGUUUGUGCCAUUAGUUUUCAAAUUUGAAUGGUUUAAAUUUGAAUUUGUUUAAAUUUGCUUCAAACCCAGUUUUUGAAUAACUUGAGUUUACAAAUAGUUUUAAAUUUAAUUCUUUUUGCUCCCAGUCAUGUGUUAGAUUGUUGUCACAGUAAAAUUUAUUUGGUUAUUUUUAGAAUAAUUUAAAUUUGUAUUUUAAUUAAAACAAUAUUGUUUUGCUUAUAUAGUUGUUUUAGUCAUUUAAUUAUUGUUUAUUAUUAUUUUUAGUUAGUUCUUUCUGUAGAUUUUAACAUGUUGUAGUAUGGUGCAUAUUGAAUGCACAAAAAGUCUAGAGUUCAAUUAAUUUUUAAAAAAUGCCUUUGUAGCAGAUGGGUUUUUGUCUGAAACCUUGAUACUUCGAAGGAGAUGAUCCAGUUUGUACACGAAGUGCAUCCAGUUUUUGUCGUAACACACUCAACUUUGUAGCACAUGUCAUCUGGGUGAAAUGAUGAUACCAUAACAAGUUUCAGCCUUUUCAGAGUUCAUUUGUAGCGUUUUUCAAUUUCAGGGUCAUUUAGCUCAAAAAAAUCAUUAAAUGCAUAGGAAAAUAGAAAAUGAGGUGAGAAAGGGUUCAAAAUUUAUGAGGUGGCUUUGAAUGAUGCAUAUUGAACACACAAAAAGUAUGGAGUUCAAAAAAACGAAAUCCCUUUGUAAGAGAUGAGUUCUCGUUCGAAACCCUGAUACUUCGAAAGAGAUUGUCCGUUUUGUACACCAAGUGCAUCUAGUUUUUGUCGUAACUCUCUCAACUUUUUAGCACAUGCCAUGUGGGUGAAAUGAUGCUACCUUGCCAACUUUGAACAUUUUUAGAGUUCAUUUGUAUUGCUUUUGAAUUUCAGGGUCAAUUAGCUCAAAAAAAUAAGUAAAUGCAUGAAAAAUACCAAAUGGAGUCUGAAAAUGUUGAAAAUUUAUGAUGUGCCUUUGAAUGGGGCAUUUUGAACACACAAAAAGUAUGGAGUUCAAGUAAGUUCAAAAGAAUGAAAUCCCUUUGCAAGAGAUGAGUUUUCGUUCGUAACUCUGAUACUUCGAAGGAGAUGGACCAGUUUGUACACGAACUGUAUCCAGUUUUAGCCGUAACCCUCUCAAUUUUUUAGCACAAACUAUGUGGAUGAACUGAUGAUACCAUGCCAAGUUUCAACAUUUCCAGAGUUCAUUAUAGUGCUUUUCAAUUGCAGGAGCAUUUAGCUCAAAAAAAUCAUUAAAUGCAUGAAAAAUAGCAAAUAAAGUUAGAAAGGGUUAACUCUGGCUUGGUUAACCUUAGACGAGGACUCUGGCAGGGACGGUGAUAGCAGAUGUAGUCAACGGGUAUGAUUGGACUCUUGGCUAAAGGGGGAUUCUGAAAUUUUCUAACUCUACCCCCCCCCCCACGUGGACCGUCUUUUUUAGUUUUAUAGAAAAUAAACAAAAAUGAUAAAAUUUUCAAAAAAUAAAAUUCUUUGAGAUGUUGUUAGGUUUUAGUGUCUAGUCGGUAUAGAAAUUUUGAGAUAUGAAUUUUGACCGUUUUUGCAAAAAAGGAAAAAAAAAUGUGAACAGCCAUAACUUUUGCAUACGACGUCCAAAAAAAAGUUUAAUAUAUAAAAAAAACUAGAAAAAAUUGGGACUCGAUUUCACCCGGGCUUGCCCGGUGAAGUUCUCUCACAUGCCCAAACUUCCAAAUGGAAAAAAAAUUAUUUCAAAAAGAAGUUUUUUCCAAAAAAAAUAAGAAAAAUAAUUUUAUUUAAAAACAUUAGGUUGUUUUCAUUGAAAUUCACUAUUAUUGUUACUUACUAAGUUUAUCUUAAUAAUUGUUUGUAAUUUCAAAAAAUUAAAUCAUGUGACAUGGCAUCAANNNNNNNNNNNNNNNNNNNNNNNNNNNNNNNNNNNNNNNNNNNNNNNNNNNNNNNNNNNNNNNNNNNNNNNNNNNNNNNNNNNNNNNNNNNNNNNNNNNNUAGCAGUAGCGUGGGCACCAGCGUUAUUCUAUAACUAAUUUUGAAUUAGCAGUGCGGUUUUGCCCGCUACUGCGUAGGUUGAACCAGCGGUACUAUUCCCUCCGUUUCUUUUUAAUCCGUUAGGAGUACUACCAAUUUUGAUUAAAAAUCAAUCCAUGGCUGGUGCUGCAGGGCAUCCUCGUUCUCUCCAUCCAUAAAUGAUUGAUGUUGAUCCUAGAGGGGAUGCAGCCAUCAAUGGCGAUGGUGCUUCCAUGCCUCACUCGUCCACGUACAUCUCUCCUCUGCUGUUGCUCUAMAAAAAAAAAAGGAAUUAGAAAAGGAAGAAAGAUACUGAGAGGAGUAAGAGGAGCAAGUACCGGAUGGCCGUCGGAUUUGGACCAGACACCCAGUCCUGGCGAGGAGGUGCAAGUGGUUGCAUCCAUAUCCAUGACACUCAGUCCUGGCGAGGAGGUGCAAGUGGGGUUUGCAUCCAUAACGGAUCUUGCCGCCAAGAUGGAUGGUGCUCCCUGGAGGAGGGAGAAGGGAGGGCGGAAGGAUGGAGAUAUACCUCGGUGGAUGUGAGGGCGAGGGUGGGCAACGACCCUCGACGAGGGGCAACGGCGACAGAGGCGGGCGAUGCUGUUGGGCGACGACACCAAGAGCGAGCGAGAGACUGUGAGGGAAGAGUGAGCGAGAGAGAGAGGGAACGGGCGGGGAGGGAGUAUGUGUAGAUAUUUUGGCUGGGAAAGACAACUUAAUAAUAACUAGGGAUAUAAACCCGUUCUACUACUAUCAACUUAGUAGUAGCGCGGGUAUAUAUAAACCCGUUCUACUACUAUCAACUUAGUAGUAGCGCGGGUUUAUACCCCUUGCUACUACUAUGGCCUGUCCCCGGGGGCAUGGUAUAUACCACUUUGUAGUAGCGAGGGGUAUAAACCUGCGCUACUAUUAUUAAUUUAGUAGUAGCGAGUGUCAAUAUAGCGCGUUACUAGUAACUUAGCAGUAGCGGGGGUAUAAACCCGUUUUAUUAGUAAGCGACUACCUAUAAGUUUUUUCCUAGUACUAAGCCUAUGCUCAACAAAUUCAACUGUCAUUUUUCCCUGACGAAGCACAAUUGUCCCUUUUUUUGCAUGGAAAUGGGCAAGAGCACAUCAAACACUAAUAUGAACAUGUAAAAAUUAWUAUUUUMUAAAAAAAAAAAAACAAUGGUUGCCCAUUUGUUUGAAUUUGUUGGUCGUGCCAGUACUAUCACCAUCCAGUUUUUGUUGAGAUCUUUGAGGUGCAGACACUUUGAUCUUGUUUGGGAUCAGGAACUCUUUUCUGGUAAAAGGGAUGUAUUGAAAGUCCCUCCAAAACAAAAAAGAACUGUACUCAAGGUCGGCUGCUAUGUCGCUUCCCAUGUGGUUGAUAUGAUUCCAUCCAGUUGCUGCUUUAUUUCAUUCCAUUUUCUACUCAUUCCAGCUUUAGCAAUUAUUGUUGGUACCAUUGCCCUGUCCACUAGAGAGUGUCGGGCUCGCCCUGGCCCUGGUAGUUGCCUGUUGCCAUCUGCUAAAUAAAUCACAGUAAAUUUGAUGUGAGAUGCCAUAUGCUACACGAAUUAUGCCGAUGACUGAUCCAAUAGGAGCCCCCUUUCAAUUUUUCUCUAUAUUAUGUCGGACUCUUAGGGCUCGUUCGUUAAUCCACUAAUUCCUCCAAAUUUAAGAAUCUACGGAGCAUGUGUACAUCCGCUUCUUAAAUUAUAAGUACAACUUCGUCCGUUUUGAAAAUGGAGCCGCGGAGCCGAAGGACUUCGAACGGUCCUUAAUUGUCUACAUCAUCAUAGCAAUAGAGUUUCGCAAAAAAGAAACAAACAAACAUAGCAAUAGGUUUAUGAUGGGAUACUUUUCGUUGCAAUUAUCCACACAUACCAAUGUUGCUUUUGUAACUUUUUUUCUUUGUGGGGUAAUUACUUUUACAACUCUAAUCACAUGCUUAUGCAUAAGAUUAUGAAAAACGUUUGAAACUAUCCAAAUGAUUUUUCACCUACGUAACCUCCUCUCCCGCGCGACAUGUGGCAUGCUGGGCCCUUCCACCACUUCCCAACCUUAUCUNNNNNNNNNNNNNNNNNNNNNNNNNNNNNNNNNNNNNNNNNNNNNNNNNNNNNNNNNNNNNNNNNNNNNNNNNNNNNNNNNNNNNNNNNNNNNNNNNNNNCACGCACGUGCGAAAUGGAUCAGAUAGAUAGAUUUUGUACUGUAUGUACUGCUGGUGGCAUGCAUGCGUGCAUAUGUUUGCUUAAUUAUAACUUAUAAGUAUGAUUAUGUGUACGUUAUGCUAGUGUCUUAUGAGGUUAAUUCGAGGGAGAAGUUAAGCUGCAUGCACAGGCACUUUCUAAAGAGAGAAACCACAUGCACAAUAAUCUCAUCAACUUGGCUAGUAGCUACCUCCAUACUCAAGGUUAUUUAUGUGUGUAUACAAAUAUACAAUGACUUCUUACUAGCUAGGUCUGUCCGAGGCCGGAAGAUAUGUAUCUUUUAUGAUGGUGUCCACUCGAUUGAAGCAUACAGAAAUGUUUUUCCCCACCCUCGAAUAGGACCUCAUAUAUCCCAGGCUACUUCUUAUUUAUGGUUCCUUUAAAGUGAUGUUUUAAUAAAAAUACAGAUGUGUUGACUGUAUGCAUGUUGUUAAUUACGCUGAGGCCAGUUAUUCGUAAAAAAGUAGCAAAACAAGAGCUAGUGCUGGCCCUUUAAUGCAUGCUUGCAUGCAUAAAAAGACUGGAUUUAUUUGUAUACUCUUAAACCAUGUCUGCUACUCCCUCCGUCACGGUUUAGAAGACACGUUUGAAAAAAUCUCUGGUACCAAGGUAGUCACCGAUUGGUUGUGAGAUGUAGCAGGUGUAGAUGCUAAUGCGCCUAAUCAACUGAAAAAAUACUAGUACUAAUGCGUGAGCAACAAAUUAGGAGGACGCAUGCAUGAGUAGUACUAGUACUAAUUAAUAGGAGUAAUUGCUUUCGCGUUUAAACCUUGUCUAUUUUAAAAACGCACACAAGUUUAACUGUGCCUUCUAAACCGUAACGGAGGGAGUAGCUAGCUAGCUAGCUUUAACUUCUUCCUACGGGUUUAUCGGCAUAUCCCCAGCGAAUCAUUCGAUCCUAUGCACAUACAUAAUUGAGUUGAUGUGCACUGUUUUUUCAAUCUGACCUACGCAAGCAAAUCGAUCGAGUAGUGCAUAGUUCACCAGUACCUUGUACAAAAUCAGAUAUAAUUGAAGAUUAUAUAUAUAGUCGCGCGGCUUGAUGGAAUUCUCCAUAGAUUAAACUAUCCAUAUAAUCGAUCAGGUGAUGGCCCGGUCGUGCAUAUUCUUCUUGUGGAGUAAGAGUAGACGAAAAAGACUUUCUCCAGAGUCUCCAGCGACUUCGGACUACCUAGAGCUUAGCUAAGCCAGUUUAGCACGCAAGCCAAUCAUUCCCAUCACAAGGCACAAAAGUCAAAUCCGGCCUAAAAAGGAUAUAUUAAUGGUGUAAGCUAAUUUCGUCUCAUAGCUAGCGGCAUCGCAAGCAUUUGGUGUUUGGUGACAUGAUCAUGGGUAAAAUUUGUCAUGUAAAAUUUAUGUGACAUCACAUAAUUAAACUAAAUAAUAUAAGGAUAUAUAUGAAGCUUGUAUUUAGAUGAACCAUAAUGCUAUGCACAAGCUCCAAGGUGGAAAUAGAGCAAGCUUUGAUUCUCUCACCAUCUACUGGAACUUAGAUCUUCUACUGUAUCUACUGUAUUAGUCGUAUAAUGAGUAGGGUUUUUGUACCACUCAAUAGCCGUGUUUGUCUAUCACCACACACCCUCCAUCCCCGCGCGCGGGUAGGUUAUUGCUCAUAAAAUCGGCAACGUAUGGUUUAUAAUAAUGUAACAGAGACAUGCAUAAGAUCCAAUGUCAAAAAUGAGAGCAAAUUAACUUAGAAACACUCUGUUGGAGUGGUUGUAUACAGUCGAUGAUAUGAAUAUAUAUAAUUUCUGACAACAUAACACACUAGUUAAUUGAGAUGCUCUGAUGAAGUUGAGGUUUCAUUAUUUGGAUCUAUAUGUCUUUUUUUUGCGGGUAUAUUUGGAUCUAUAAUGUUGUUUGUACUCUAANNNNNNNNNNNNNNNNNNNNNNNNNNNNNNNNNNNNNNNNNNNNNNNNNNNNNNNNNNNNNNNNNNNNNNNNNNNNNNNNNNNNNNNNNNNNNNNNNNNNGAUACCAUGCCAAGUUUCAACAUUUCCUAGAGUUCAUUAUAGUGCUUUCUAAUGCAGGAGCAUUUAGCUCUAAAAAAAUAACAUUAAAAUGCAUGAAAAAUAAGCAAAUAAAGUUAGGUAAAGGGUUAAACGUUCUGGCGUUGGUUUAACCGUUAACGACGGAGGACUCUGGCGAGGGACGGGUGAUAGCAGAUGUAGUCAACGGGUAUGAUUGGACUCUUGGCUAAAGGGGGAUUCUGAAAUUUUCUAACUCUACCCCCCCCCCCACCGUGGACCGUCUUUUUUAGUUUUAUAGAAAAUAAACAAAAAUGAUAAAAUUUUCAAAAAAUAAAAUUCUUUGAGAUGUUGUUAGGUUUUAGUGUCUAGUCGGUAUAGAAAUUUUGAGAUAUGAAUUUUGACCGUUUUUAGCAAAAAAGGAAAAAAAAAUGUGAACAGCCAUAACUUUUGCAUACGACGUCCAAAAAAAAGUUUAAUAUAUAAAAAAAACUAGAAAAAAUUGGGACUCGAUUUCACCCGGGCUUGCCCGGUGAAGUUCUCUCACAUGCCCAAACUUCCAAAUGGAAAAAAAAUUAUUUCAAAAAGAAGUUUUUUUCCAAAAAAAWWAGAAAAAUAAUUUUAUUUAAAAACAUUAGGUUGUUUUCAUUGAAAUUCACUAUUAUUGUUACUUACUAAGUUUAUCUUAAUAAUUGUUUGUAAUUUCAAAAAAUUAAAUCAUGUGACAUGGCAUCAANNNNNNNNNNNNNNNNNNNNNNNNNNNNNNNNNNNNNNNNNNNNNNNNNNNNNNNNNNNNNNNNNNNNNNNNNNNNNNNNNNNNNNNNNNNNNNNNNNNNUCAGGGAGGAGUUGAAAUCUUCAGAAGAUAACCUAGACCUAUGUUCUCAGCUUGGGGCAGUGUUGGGAAUGCUUGGGGAUUGCUGGUAUGACCUUUUUCUCUUGACUACAUCCCCUUCCUAGUGUUUUCACUAUGGCAACCUAAGAAAUAAACUGCCGGGAGAAAACUGGGAUUAGGUAAAAAAAAUCUGUGCCACUAGAAAUUCUAUUAAAUGGCUGUUUGUUGUGGUGUGCCCUAGAUCUCCUGAAAAUUAGAAAAUAUAGGUUCAGUUCUUUGUGUCUGCUCUGCAUAACCCAUUCUAGUUUAAGUCAACAAAUCUGCAAGAAUUCCCUGUGGAUAUUCUUGCUUGAUAUUUAGCUGUAUAUUCCAAUCUGGUUUCUUGCUUGUGUCUAAACCUCUUUAUUAGUAUGAGGCCCACUUGUUUGCUUCAGUCAGUACUUUACACAAUGAAUCUCGGUUAUUCAUUAAAAACCCUCUUUCCAUUAUAGUAUGGUUUCAACUGUUAGGCGUGGUUUAUUGAACCGGAUCUGUUACAUUGAACAGACAGAUGAAUGGCAGUGUAGUUUGCCUUACAUGGUAUUAUUUGACAAUCUUACAACUGUUGGGUAUAGGUCACUGAUCUAGCAACUUCUCAUUCUGAAAACAGCCCUUAGUUUCUUAUCCAUGUAUCCUAGUACCUGCAUGUUCUGAGCCUUGUAAUGUGAAAUGUGGAAAUCUCGUCAUAGCUAAGUUCAUUUCUCUUAAUUGGAGCAUUGGACAAUGCUGUACUCAUAUGCAUGUUUACUUUGGAAUGACACAUCACAUAUCAGUAAUUUUGCAAAUGCUUAAUAUCACUAGUGAAAAUGUUGCUGUUAUUAAUGCGCAAUAUUUUUUUUUUUGCAUCGGAUUCCACUAACCAAUAUUAUGUCGUACUUCCUUCAUUAUACUCAUUAGACAUUAUAACAGUGAGACACAGUGACCUUAUUUGCUUAUUUAGUUGAUAAGCAAACUCAUUGCUUACUGGUUUCUGCCUGCUCCUCAUCACGGGACUCUGUUUUUUCAGUCGGACCUUGGGAGAUGCGCCCUCAGCGAUUAAAUACUACGAAGAAAGUGCUGAGCUUCUGUCGAAAUUGCCCAAAAAGGAUCUUGAGGUUGUAUUCUAGUUUAGUGUCAUACAGUCUUAACAGUAAAAAUCUUUGUCAAUUGAGUCUUUUGGUUUCUUCUACAGUUGGUCCAUACGCUCUCAGUUUCGCUUAACAAAGUUGGAGACCUUCGCUACUAUGAUGGGGACCUACAAUCCGCAAGAAGUUAUUAUGCCCGUUCAUUAGAUGUUCGCAGAAAUUCAGUGAAGGAACACUCAGCUGUGGCCUCCAGGUGAUUGCAGUGCUCACAUGCCGUCAUGUAAUUCAUUAAAAAUCAUGAUUAAGCAUCAACACAAACAACAUAGAUAGUUUCUUCAAAUAGAAAUGUCCUUGCGUGUCCUUUUUUGNNNNNNNNNNNNNNNNNNNNNNNNNNNNNNNNNNNNNNNNNNNNNNNNNNNNNNNNNNNNNNNNNNNNNNNNNNNNNNNNNNNNNNNNNNNNNNNNNNNNCCAACCAUCGACCAUGAGUCUCAUCGGCAUGAAGAAGACGCUAGCUUCUACAUGGGCACGACGCCAAAGGGGGAGAAGGACCAACUGGAUCAUGCAUGAGUACAGGCUCAAGAGCGGCAAGCAGCCAUCACCCGAUCGUGCCUAGCGACAUCACCAAUGCCACAAUCAUUAACACAUCUUCCAAGGUAUUUAAAACUGGAACUAGUAGUAGAAAUAUACUAUCCAUGUUAAAUUUGCAUUGAUUUAUUUUAUGUUAUGUUUGUAGGAGGACUAGUGUGGUUUGCAGGAUCUUCCAUAAGAGCACUGGACUAAAGAAGGUGGUUAUGUCAUCGUACACCAUGCCCAUGCCCAUGCGUGUGGGGGUAGCAGAGCACCAACAUGGCUUCCUCGAAUCCUUUACAUUGCCUCCGCUCAUGGACUACAAUGCAUCAUCAUCGUUGACGCCACCUUUGUCACUGCCUGCAGCUUCUUCGUACCAGCUACAAGCCACCAGGCCUGCCGCAUUGAUGAUGGAUGACACAUUGCUCCCGAUGAUGAAUGGUGACUACAUUGGUAACCACCACCACCAGAUGUUGGUUGCCCCACCACAGCCGUUGAUACCGUUCUACCACCACCACGUGGAGCAACAACAACACCCGAUGAUGCAGAUGCAGAUUAUGGAAAUGGAGAUGAGUGCGGACCAGGGCUUCAUGGUCGGGAUUGAGCCUGGGAGCGAACCUUCGUCCAUAGUAUCACAGGAGGAUGUCAUGAUCGGGCUAAAAAACAAUGACUUGGGCAACGGCUCCACAGCAACCCCCGACGAGAUCUCGUCGGUGAACAUGGGUAUGGAUGGCAUGUGGUAGUUCUGAUGAUUAGAUUAUCCAAUAUAACAUAUGUGUGUGUGUGUGUGCAUGCAUGCAUGAAUUAAUCAUCCAUGAGAAGAUGAGUGAUAUAUACCAACAUGUGUAUUGGUUUGUACCUUAAUGUAAUUUUUAGCGUGAUCAAAAGAGAGUUUGUAUGCAUUGCUUGACUUGCAUUGCAUCUCUUGUGCUAAUAUUGUCUGUAUGUGUGCUGGCUUGUAUGUGCUGUAAAAUACCUCGUAGUGUGUACAUCAUGCGUGUUUUAAAACUAUGUGGAAUGAACUGUUUUGUUAAUUAUGAAUAUUUGGUUCCAUUUUGAAAGUUUAAAAAAUGCAUUGCAUAAUAUUUUUUAUAAACUUGGUAUAUAUUGCCCACUCUCCCCCCCUCUCUUUCCCGCUCUCUGUCAAACACAGAAUCACAUCUUGUGUGUGCUUAAUUUAACUUAUUGUAAUGAAGGUAAUUUUUUGAGCCAUCAAAAAAUUAAUUUUUGUGUUGUUGCUAUGUUUGAUUUUCAAUGUUUCUUCCAAUCCAUAUUAAAUCCUCCACCUACCCUCUUGCAAUCUAUGCCCNNNNNNNNNNNNNNNNNNNNNNNNNNNNNNNNNNNNNNNNNNNNNNNNNNNNNNNNNNNNNNNNNNNNNNNNNNNNNNNNNNNNNNNNNNNNNNNNNNNNGGACUGUGCAUACACGAAGCCAGCCACGCUCGACGGCGGUUAUGGGACACGCGCCACUUUGUAGCCCGCAUUCUUGGUGUGCUCUAUCGCGUUAAGUAGCAUCAUAUCCUCCUCCUAGACACAUUCUGGUACGGGGAACGACCCUAGAGGCGAUAACACGAGCGGGGGCACGAGGACGGACGGUGGUACCACGAGGAUGAUAGACUCAUCGAAGGCGGAUCCCAGUUGUAAGACCUCAUGGGAGAGAUCAUAGAUACCAUCGGUAGUAGGUGACGACUGAAGUGCAAUAUCAAGGUGGAGCCGGCAACAGCGUUGAUCUGCCCCUGACUAUCGGUCCAUAAAGGGACGAGGGGAAGGUCCUUCCCAGUCGACUCCCUAUGGCAGGCACUGCGGGCGGCAAGUCGCUGGAGAAUACAGACCCUCCGCUCGCCGGCGACGGAGCUAGUCCGAGCGCAUUUGAGAGAUGCGACGUGCAAGCUGCAUCUUCCGACAACCUUCCACAGCGGGAUAUGAGUCUACAAGGUGCGUUUGCGAAGCUCGGAUUUGUUUUUUUUUGGUGGGGUAGAGAGCAACAAUGAGUGAGAUUGAGCGGGAGAGGGGAAGGUUGACUAUUAUAUUGUGUGAGAUGGGGAAGGGGAUUUCAGACAAGGAGGACCCACACAUCAGCGAGAGAAAUCGCAAAGGAAGGGGACACUACCGGCGUGAUAACCAAGGCCCGCGGCAACACUACAACACUAGCGAUGUCGGUUACAAAGUCAGCGCCAUUAUGGUGCACCUAUCUACUACCCCUAUAAAAGGACGAGGGGGUGAUAACCCAUAAGUAUAGGGGAUCAAUCGUAGUCCUUUCGAUAAAUAAGAGUGUCGAACCUAACAAAGAGCAAAAGGAAUUAUAAGCAAUUUUAGCAAGGUGUUCUCUGCAAGUGCUGUAAGUAAGAGUAAUAGAUAGUUUUGUAGCAGGAUAAUGCGUAACAAGUGACAAGUAACAAUAUUAGCAAGUAUGCAACAAGAUAGCACAAUAUUUUUUAUAGCAAAGGACAUGCCUGAAAGUACUCUUAUAUGAAGCAAGCGCUCCCGAGGACACAUGUAGAAUUUCUAUCUAGUCAUGUUCAUCAUGUUUGAGUUGAUUCACGUUCGUACUUUGAUAAUUUGAUAUUUGGGUGACCGGGUCUAAGGUGUUGCUCUUACUUGAACAAGCGACCCACAUAUUAUUACCCCCUCUCGCAAGCAUCUGCAACUACGAAAUAAGAAUUAAGAUAAAUCUAACCAUAGUCUUAAAAGUGUGGAUCCAAAUCAGCGCAUUAUGAAGCAACACAUAAACUGAGAUUUAAGCUUCUCUCACUCUCGCAACCCAUCAUCUACUUGUUACUCCACAGUGCCUUACCUUAAUCCCAUAACAUNNNNNNNNNNNNNNNNNNNNNNNNNNNNNNNNNNNNNNNNNNNNNNNNNNNNNNNNNNNNNNNNNNNNNNNNNNNNNNNNNNNNNNNNNNNNNNNNNNNNGUUUGCUUGCACACUGACGGUCAUCGAAAAGUUGGGAUGGAUUUUGAGACCCCUCUUUUCCCUGCUCAUCAGCUUAUUGAUUGAUGAUGCCAGGAGGCAGGAGCUCUUUUGUUWGAAUAAAGACUCUCUGAACUGGAACAACAAAAAARRACACAACCAUUACAAAAWWGAUUGUGACAUUUACAAAAGUAUUCACGCUCUUCAAACAUAUGUUCACAACAUUUUCAGGAAAUGUCUAUACAACAGUAAAGAAAGUUAUGUAACUUCAAAUAAAUUGUACUACCCAUUAAAAAACUUUGUGUCAUCAUAAAAAAGGUUCACACGUUUCAAAAACAUGUUCGUAUUGUUUUUCUACAUAUGUUCGUACCAUUCAAAAAAUGUUUGUGACAUUGAGAAAAAUGUGCAUGUGUUUCGGAAAAAAUGUUGUUGAUUUUUUUAUACAAAUGUAAAAAAAGUUUAGCUUAGUUUAGAAGAAAAAAUAUUAUACCAUAAAAAUAUGAUCAAAUAUGUAUUCCAAAAAAGUUGGACACGUAUUCAAAAAAAAUGUUCAAAGCAUUUAAAAAAAACUAAUGUGUAUCAAAAAUAGUUGCUGAUGUACACAAAAAUGUACAACAUAUAUGAAAAAAUAGACAUGUAUUGAGAAAAUGGGGAAAUAUUAAACGUAUACGAAAUAGACAUCUAUUGUGGCAGUUCAAGACAAUAAUCGUAGUCGUCAAAAGGUUCUUCCUUUGCGACAGCAAGAACAACUUGGUGGGUAAUUUGUCAAUUCUUAAAGCCAUUCAUUCACCAUCACUUGAUUAAUUUGUAACUCAGCUAAUUAGCCACUAGCUACGACUAACAUCACUUGCAUAGCUUGUGGGGCAUCACUUUGCUUUCAGCACAAGAAAGUACUUAUAGUUAAUAAGUUAUUUGAGCUAAGUAGCAAUCCAAUGUGCGACGUGGAGUUUCUCAGCCCGCGCUCAACUGAGCUCGAAUGAACAGUAAAAGUAAAGUGAGAAAAACUGCGGCAAACCUAUUUAGCGUGACAGGCAUUGCUUAAAGGAAAAAGUUGCUAACCGGCGCCUGCAGGGCUCCGUAAUGGGCGGGCCCAUGUUGAGAUCCUUCAUGAACUUUUUUAGCCUGUGAAAUGUUUUAGCCCGUGAUCUUUUUUGAAAUCGGUAAACUUUUUGAAAAUCAAUGAUAUUUUUUGGAAAUUCAUGAACAUUUCUGAAAAUCAAUGAACAUAAUUUAAAAUUCAUGAUUUUUUCAAAAUCAGUGAAAUAUUUUAAAAAUUGAUGAACUUUUUCAAAAUCAGUGNNNNNNNNNNNNNNNNNNNNNNNNNNNNNNNNNNNNNNNNNNNNNNNNNNNNNNNNNNNNNNNNNNNNNNNNNNNNNNNNNNNNNNNNNNNNNNNNNNNNCGCUCACAUCGACGCCAUUCCUUUUUAUUCCAGAACAUUCAGUACUUGCUUAUUAUUAGACCGCGCGCUGUUUGAACCAACAAACUUCAGCACAUGCAUCGUUCCUGCCAUCAGUACAAGACACAAAUCAAUCCUCAAAUUGUAACAGAAAUACCUUGCAUCUACUAUUCUACUUUGUGUUUUGAGCGGGUACGUCWWUUUGCAUGAGAUGAAAUAAACAAAUGUCAGUUAACUAAUCGAACUGUUCUAGUGAAACUGAACUGGAGCAACAGGAAAUUAAUACUCCCUAUGACGUCUUAUAUUAGUUUACAGAGGGAAUACACGGGCAAGCGCAGGAGAUAGAAUAGAAGAACUUACACCAGGCAACGAUCUUCCAGCGCUGGUUGUCGCCCUCAGUCCACUCCCACAGAAUGAGGGUGGUUCCAUCGCGCACACCGCCAUGGUCCUUGUCGCCAUGGAGCGCAUCAAAGUUCAAGUAGAUGUUGUUCACCAUCCUGAUGCAGCGGUAGCCUGCCCCAACAUCCCUGCUCUCGGUCCAAAGGACCGACUCGUCCAGGGUGUCUGGAUUGUACCUGGUCAGAAGAAC